UUCCUCUCUCCCUAAACCCCAUCUGAAGAAGAAGCAGAAGAAAAAUCUCGCCUCGCGGGUAGCAAUGGCGGCAAUCGGAGGCCAGUCCCUCGCGAUCUCGCUCGUGGCCGUGGUCGCCGCCGCCUUCCUGGCAGUUGGAGCCGUCGCAGCCGACGCACCGGCCCCCAGCCCGACGUCCGCCGCCGGCGCCCUCAUCCCGAAUCUCGCCGUCGCCGUUCUCGCCUCGUCCGUCGUCCUCCUCCUCCUCGGAUCCGUCCGUCACUGAGUGAUCCUGGGCGUAGACUAGUCAUUCCAGGGUGGAAUUGGGUCGUCUUUAGGGUUUCUUUCAAUAAGGGUGGUGGUGAUGGCGAUCGAUGAGUUUUUUUAACGCUUAGUAUGGGGUCUCUAGUGCGUGUGUGUGUAGAUAUGAUAUGCUUUGGCUGCAGAGAUUGAUGUGUUAUUAAUAGUUCUGUUUGUCUUUCUUUAGUUCAUGUUCAUGAUUUGUUGGUGAGAUUUUGUGGUGUGUGAUGGAUGGAUUGAUCUAUGGUUGAUGCAACCGAUGUCUGAGAUUAUUCUGGUGCCAUAAAUCUCCAAGCUUCCACUCUUUGUGAGGCCAGAGUGGAUCGAUGGGUCAAAAACACAACUUUGGGUUCCCAUCUUCCGAUCGAGAAAGCGAGUUCAUCGAUCAGCGUGCUGUGUCAUCGUACCUGUGCGCCGACGAGAGGGACCCGAGAUUUGUGCCUCUUUACCAACAAAGCAUGUGGUGGUGGCCCGAUGCCCUCAGGAGGAGGAUGACGAUCGAGGCAUAGCAUUUGGAAUCGAAGAUGCCGCUUCUUCAGUUACUUGAGCGGCUCAUCUUUGGGCAAAAGGGGAGAAGCAUCCUCGCUGUAAUAAAAAGAGAAUUGUUCUUGUCAUGACUUCUCAGUGACUCUUUACGUAAGUGCGUGAAUCUAUCUAUCUUUAACUCCAACUCCCCAACUUUCUCAUAUUUCCAGGUUGUAAACCAAAAGCAUAUUUUCAUAUUAGAUGUAUUUAUUUAUAUUAGAACAACUGUCAAGUGAGUCCCAACCACAAACCUUUAGGCAAAGGGUCGCAUCGCCGAAGUGCCACACUCACCUAUUCUUUUACUUAAAUAAACCCGAAUGCCAGAGGAAAGAAGGGUCCAUCACAUGAAUCCCUGACAGACACUUCCUCUUCCAUAUAUCUUUCUUAUUACGCUUCUUUGUCUUCCAUGUAGUUUUGUCAUCACACCCAGUUGGAGACAUGGCCUGUUAGAGGUCACCGAAACAGAACUUUCUGGUUCCCGUUGGACGUCGAGGAAGAUGGCUCUGUCCAAACUGCAGAGGAUGGAAGGCACUGACGAUGACACUUCACCAGCCAGGCUUCUUUUUUUAUCUUUGUGACGGGGACCUUUAACGCGUCAAAUUCAUAUUUGGGGAAGGAAUCUAAAUAGAAGCAGAAAGAUGAGGUGCCAAGACUUACUUUGCAUGCUAUAUAUGUGUAUGAACAUAUACUUAAACCAAGUCUUAUUAAACAUGCAAUGGGGUUGAGGGAAUGAAGAUGAUAAAUGUGUUAUUGUAGGCUUGUCGUAUGUGCUUGAUACAGAAAAGAUGAAUGCUUCCAUGACCACUACUUUUGACAGAGAGUAAAUACCUCGAGUGAAUCAUUUACAAAAAAAGGCAUCUCACGAACUCUGGAGUCUCAAUCUGACACAGAUUUCUCCAGCUACUGUCACUCUGGUCACAUUUCGAACCCACGGCCAGGCAUUAGUGACAUGAUUGGGUCAGGAACUAAAGCCUCUGUGGAGAGAAGACCAGCUGUUUGAGGGAAACCUCAGGCAAGCUUGAGCAGAAACCUCGGCCAUGGUUUCCUCCCUGAUGCCUGCAUUGCAGAUGUUUGCUAGGGACCUCAUGUGUUUCAUUCCAUACUGAGAUAAAGACCCACAGUAUGUUUCGAAGGCCCGUACCUACAACAACAAAAAGCAACGACAGCAUUGAAAUCAAAUGAUAAGUUAUGAUCUAGUCUAGAGAAUAUUCAACGAGAUCCAAGUUCUUUUUUAACAUCAACCAAUCGUUGAAACCGGUCUUUCGAGCGCCAAUCCUCGGAUUUCAUCAUCACAUACAUAUUUAGAGGAAGCAUUGACCUAGAAUGCAGUAUCUCACAGUACUCCAAGAAACUGAAUUGCCCUAGUAACAUAUCGAUCGACCAAAGAUUUAGAUAUGGUUUCUGUGAUGAUUCUUAGAAAAGACAAACAUAAGAGAUGGUUAUGAAGAGGCAAUUAAGAUUGAAACCAUGAGAAAAAGCUGGAAUAAUUGGGAUGUGCAAUUAGUCAUAGCAAUUUUCCUAUCACAAUUGCUGUCAGCCAGGAAUAGAGCUGCAACCUCAAAACAAUUUAGAAAUCAACUGUAUAUGUAUCAUGCUAGAGUACAAUUUUACAUGAAGUGACGAGGUGCCUAAUGUAGGUAAGAUGAAGUUUUCAGUUGCUUAGUUGUGAGUUUUAGUGUCUCAUACUAAGUGUGUUGUCUCAGCAACAAGACCACAUUGCAAAGCAAAAGAGGACUUCAUAGGAGGAUUCAGAGAUACAUCUAAGUUCAAUAUGUCGAAAGGUUAAGAUGAUCGGUUUACUCACCAUUGACUUGAGACAGGACCAGUCAUCCACUAAAGGCUGGCCAGCUGGUCGGACACUCUCGAGCACUUCAGGCCCUUGCUCGGAACCAAAAAGAAGCUUUCCAAUAAGUUGUAUACUGGUAUCUAUAUGCAGACGAUGUUCCAUUACUUCUAGUAGAUGCUUUUGAGCGUUAAGUUUCUGAUGGGAACCUUCAGGUGCCCUAUGAAACUUCGAAUAAGAAAAAAAAAAAAAAAUUAGUUGCAUAACAACAAAAGCAGCAUGGGCAAAGUGAUGUUUUAAAACCUAAUGUUGCAUAAAAGAUUCAAAGAACUUAUAAAUAAAAUGAACCUUAUGCCAGAAAUGAAUUAGAUCUGCAUCACGUUGGUUCACGGCCUCUGGUAAUGGUGGCAAGGAAUUAUAAUCAACAUAAGUGGGAUUAUCAUUGGCAGGAUUAGAACCUACGUACGAAACAAGUUUUUUUGCAUUUAGAUCCAGAUCCCCGUAUUGCAUGACAUGAGAACCAAAUAAAUAUGUCCUGUGAACUGCAGUCCUGGUUUUGACCUGCAAAGAUUAAUAGAAGUGCUUAAACGGACAGCUACAGAAACAGGUGACAUACGAUGAGGAAACUACGACAUCAAGUGCGUACAAGUUGAUACUGCUGCUUCAGUGUUUCAAUCUGCCAAUUGUGCAUAUAGCUGAUCAUGCAAAAAAAAUAACCAUGUAAGAUAACUAAAACCAAAAAGGUCAAUGGACAUCCAAGAUAUGACACACUACUUGACUGAUUUAUACACAAACAAGUAGGAUUAUAUUCUAUUUCUGUUUAUAUAUUCUAUCAGAAUACUUUUUUUCAGUUUAAUCAAAAGAAACCAUUAACUCAUCUGCAUCAAGAAGACCUAAAAGAGGAUCAUUAUUUUCUAAAAGAAAAUUCAAGCUAUACAAGGAUAAAUGACAUGCUGACGUGCCAAAAUAUAAAGCCAAGAAUAUCAUGCAACAACACUGGAUCUUUUUCUUUGUUUCUCUUUUUUCUGCUGUAAUAUCACUAGAUCUCAAGAAAGAAUAGAAGGUACAGUUUCAUUUUCUCUCAAACAGAAUGCUCACAUAAAGAUGCACAAUCUUGUAUGUAGAAAUGUUAUCCAAAAAGCAGAUGCAUAUAUUCGUCGACAACAAAAGAUGCUCAUUAUAUCAGAUAACCAGGAUGCUUCAUUUGGUGGAGAAGGUUUACACACCUGUCUUCCAUCCAAGAAACACUAUACAGAUCCCCCAAACAGGUAGAGUAUUCUGGAGGAGGGGAAGGGAACAUUCCGGGGCAGUAAGUUCCAUAACUACUCUCUGUAGUAUUUGCUGCAGUGGUUGCAUAUACUUUUAUAUUGUCUGGGAGAAGGCCCUCAAAAAUACUCCCAGAUUCACAAGCUUCAAGAUAAAAUACCUACAUAGUAAAACACGAACAAAUAUAAACUACAAUAUAAAAAAGUUAUGACAGUGCAUACGCAGGGUAUAUAAUAGAUGUUACCAUGCUUUUAAAGGAUCCAGAAGCAUGUUUUUUCUUUAACACGGCAAUCAAGUCAUCCGCAUAAAGGUAAGGAUAAGUGGGCAUCCCUAAGAAGUUUUAGAACAGAAAUUAGAAAAGCUAUCAUUCUGAUGCUACAAGUGUGGAGUCAGAAAAUAGAACAUUUGAGGAACUAAACCCGAUCCCAUGAGAUUCUCAAAUAAGCUGAGGUUUCACAAACUUUUACAACUUCACAGUAAAAUUGCAGCUAGUCAUAAUUCAAAGUUCUACAACUUCAGAAAAAGAACUACAUUCUCUUUCUUAUGGAAAUAUACGAAACCAAACAAACAAUUUAAUAAUUGGACUUACAAUGGCACAAUAAUAAGAAACAUAUAGUCCAACUAACCAAGUACUCCAGGUCCACCGUGAUCAGAGUAGAAAACGAAGAUAUGAUCAUUUGGAGCACUAUUAACAACCUUCCCACUUCCUCCAGACAAAGCAGUCUUGUUUCCCAGGAGUACAGCAAAGAAGUUGUUCACGUUAACAUCAUCUCCAACAUAGUCCUGCAAAGGAUUAUUCCAAACUUAGACAAGAGCCCAUGAUGAUGGACAGGAACUGUAAAUAUAAAUGUGAGAAAGAGAAAACCUUUGGCACUCCAGCAUAAACAUCUUCACCCCAUGGAUCAUUGAUAAUGACCCCAGGUCUAGGAUUAUCCUCAUUAUUAGCAAUGUCAUCAUACAUGAAAACAAUGAUAUUCUCAUCUUGCAAUCCACCCUUUUUCAGGACUUGGUAUGCAUGACAUACAUCAGCCUGAAGAAAGAAUUCAAAGAGAAGUGUUGAUAUUAGGCAAAAUUAACCAGAACUGAAUCAAGACAUGGAUGGAUGUUUUUAAUUUUGCAUAAAAAUGAUUUCCUAUUUAUGAUUACAGAAGAACUCACUAAGAAAUGGUCAAGCUGCAAAAAGAUAGCCACUUUAUAUAAUAAAAGUUGUCUGGCUAAAAAUAAUCAAUUGCCACUAAUUGUCAAUAUUCCAGUCAACAGCAAACUCCAAAAGCCUGGUGUCUUGUGAAGGCACAGUACAUUCAUUUUUGAAUUAGAGAAACACACUCCUCAUACAAAUGAUAUAAAUGACAUAAACAAUGAUAAAAGAACUUCCAAUCAGCAUUCGUAGUUGCUAUCAGUGUAACUUUAGGCAUUUUGUGUAACUAAAUGGUUGUGUAACUAAACAGUGAAUGUUUAUGUUACACCAUAAUUACGGAGGCAAUUAUGCAAUAUCAUAUAAAGGUAAUCCGAACGAGGCUUUUGUCGUUAUGUGCUUCAGAGUGUAUCAGAUACAGAUGGUCAUUAUACCCUCAGAUGUGUAGAGGGCGCUUCCGUGAUCUAACCCAUGACUAGGGGUGUUCAAACCUGUUCGAACCAAACUAUUAAGGGUCAAACCAAACCGAAUCAUUUUUUCAAUUUGAUUAGGUUAAAGUAAGGUAGUCCGAACUAGAACCAAUUCAAAACCGGUUAACUUGGUUCUGUUAACCGGUUUGUAAUUUCAUACAACUAAAAAAUAUAUUUUUUUUAAAUGAACCGGUUCAAUUCAAUUAAACCGAACCGAAAUCUUGGUCCAAUUGAGCAUCAUGACAAUCUUUGUGAAAUUGAGUCCACAUCAUAUGUAAAAUUGAGCCUUUGGGUCAGUUUUAUUGAUCAAUUUAAAUUGAUUAAGGGCUUAGGAUAGUAAACUCAACCAGAUUGAUAUCCUUUAAAUUAAGACUGGUUCAGUUCGAUCGAACCAGUUUAACCAAACUGAAGAAAGUUACCAUCGAACUGGAACCAUUUAUAGCCUCCAAAACUAAACCACUGGUGAAUCAGUUCUGACUGAACUGGUUUUGAAUUGGUUUGGUUCCGGUUCAGUUCGAUUUGAAUACCCUUACCCAUGACACCCAAACUGUAGUAGACAACUUUAGUGUCCAUUAAGGUUUGUUCCCUACUUCUGUGGAAAAAGAUAGCAAGCUAAACUUAAUAAAUGACAAUUGUAAGGUUGAAAACAUCAAAUUGAAUUUUAUACAAUUUUGAUAUUGUCUAUAGCCGAAACUUUGCAUAAUGAGCAGAAAAAUAUUUCAAAUUUGUUUUCCAAAAUUAGUACAAUUUUGUAGAUAUGCUAGUAUUGUGCUAAAGAGCAACUAAAAUGAUUUUCUUUUUCCACAUAAAAAGAAAAUUAAUUGGUGAUCUCUGGAAUCCAAUCAGUUAUAACCCAUCUCACAAUCAAACCUCAAAGAAGUGGAAACAACUAUACAAAAUAUCUAUCUACAUCGAGCUCUUUUAAACAAGGGUCAAUGUUCCUUAUCAAGCGAUGAUUCAGCUCUAGGCCAACCACGAUAAAAAAAUUCCAAGAGCUCACCAAUAGUUUACCGAACAGAUGCAAACUUUUUUAUGUUUCUGUAUGAAGUAAAUAAUAAACCAAUAGGAACAGCUUCGAGGGUUGAAAAAUGGAAUCAGAAGAACACAAAAUGACAGAAAUAUCGAAUAACAUUUAUGCAUAUAUGCUACCGCUACAACCCAACAAAGGGGACCGCAUACAUUUAAUUAGGCAAGAGAAAAUAGCAUGAGGAAAUGCCAGUAAUCAUGUCUGAUCAAUAUACUUUCCACAACCACGAGUCAAACCUAAACGUCUUUGCCUACCAAUUCUUUGAUCAUGAAGAAUUCAUCGGAAAAAUUGAGCUCGUGCCGCAUUCCGCAAGCACGUUAAUCAAAAUAUGGUCCUGUAUAUGCUAUCUAAUUGCGAAAUAUCAGAAAUUUCUUCGAGAAAUCCUUCAAAAGAACGCGCUGGUCCCUCGGGCACGCUAUUGACAAUAACGGUAACAUGAAACAAACAACGUUGACGAACGCGACAAAAUAAUAGAUUUCCAAACAGGAAGGCGGUUUGUUACUCCGAGAAGACGUUUUUGUUUCCUUCUUUCUCCAUGGAAAAAAUCAUGAGACGGAAGUGGGAGACGAUAUACCUGAUGGCGGUAGUUGUAGUAUCCAUUGGAUCCGGCAAUGAGGACCGCCCACCUCGUCCCCAAAGGGUCGCCCUCACCGAUGAUCGGUUUUGCCACGCGAUCGGACGGCAACCUUAUGGGAUCGAGGCGGGAUUCGACGAGCAGCAGCGGGACGAGGACGAGGACGAGGACGAGGCGGCGAAGCGCGCCGGCGGCAAAGCGGGCCAUCGUAACCGUUUCGGACGUAUCAAGGCGGAAGAGAUCCGAUAUAUCCGAUGUGGAUCGCUUACUCCGUAACGGAGGAGCGCCCCAAACAGAGGCAGGCCGCGAUUAGUGCUGACCAUUUAUAGGCCGCGGCGCGGGUCACCCCGAUAUAUUGGCCAUGGGAUCUGCUCGACGACGACGUGGAUCCGUCGCCACCGUCCCUUUUAUUGUUGGCUGAAUAUGACGCGGCCGUGGGACCGGGAACAAAGAUUAUCCCGACACUGCGGGACGGCGAACGUGACGUACCCAAAUCACUCACCUGUCCUUUAAAUGGAUGCAGCGUGUGGGACCACCUUCUUUGGGGGGACGUGUUGUCAUUCUUGGAACACACGUAGCACAAGGCCUUUUCCAAACGUAUCAAGGAGUUGAUCGUUUAACACGAAUCUCAACGGACGUAGAUUCGAUAUUGAUUUAAUACAAACAUCGCUUCGGAUUUUUAUUCUUAUGUUGAAAGCUUAUAUCUGUUAACAGCUUCACUGCGUUACCGUGGUGUUCAACCUACACGCUUCAUGAUAGGACAACAAGCAUGGGUCCCAUGCUGACUCUGCUGAACCGGUUCGCUGCUGAACGCGAAGGGGUAGGAAAAGUACCAUGUCGUGGCUGUAUCUCAAGCAAACAUUUUGGGCCCCAGAAGAGGUUGGUACGUAUGUCCUCGCGCGUAAGCUAUACGCGUCGGGAGUCCCUUUGGGAUGGACACCAAAGACGCUUGGAGACUCCACCACGACUCGUGGUGUCCCCGUGACGAAGCACAUUGAUGACUUCCCAAGUUUCUCUUUAAAUGAGCUCCUCGAUCCUUCGCCCAAACCUUUCUCUCUAUUUCGACUCCUCCACAUCCGUUUCUACGAGGUCUUCUUGAGUUAGGGUUCCGAGGGUUGGUCCGUCAUGAAUCCCGAAUAGUAAGCUUCUCCGAUCCUCGAUUUCUUUUCUUUUCCUUUACCAAGAAGUCUCUUGUCUGCUAUUAACUAGGGUUUUCUGUUCUUUGCGGCUUUUGAUUCGGCAGAUCGUCUCGUUUUCUUUUGGUUUUUUUUUUCUCGAUUUCCUAAUUUUCGGCAUGCUUUAGCCGGCUUUUCUCUCUUCAGGGGCGAGCGAGUUCAGGAUAUUAAUGUGACGAGGGUUUUUCCCCCUUUUCUUUUGCCGCACUAGUUGGCGACCAAAAUUCUACUGUUAAUGUCUGUUGUGAUGUGUGUAGAUCAGUCUCGGCAUGGAAUAUGAGAUCAUAAUGACCAAUAUUGGACCUUUUAUUAUUAGAAACUGGAUUCAAACAUUUGGUGCGUCCAUUGUGGCUAUCAGCUUUACCUCCUUUGAUGUGUGAUUUCAGCCAUCACAUCCACUUUGUGAGAAAGCUGAAUCCAUGUGAUGAUUAUGAGCACUCGUACAUGCUUUCACUAGAAAAUAAACGAAAGGAUAAACUAUUGUGUAAAGUAUCUUCUAACUUCGUGAGUUAUGUCUGAACUGAUAAAAUAACGAUCCAAGUUUGAUUUUUUUUUUUGUUUCAUGAGAUCAAAGGACAAUUUUGCAUAAAAAGAUAUUUAUUUUUUGUUUUCUCUCAUCUUUCUCGAAGUUUCAGUUUGUAGUACAGAUUCUAGUAAAGAUCUGUUGCGGAUAAAAUAAUCAGAUAUAGAUUUUUAACACUCUAUCGUGGAAAAAUUAGACUAGGAAGUUUUGUAAUUCAUGAUUUUCUUUUUUCUUUUUGUGCUAUCAUUGUUUGAGUGUGUCCUUGUCAUUUUAAUUUAGUUGAAACUGCUAAAUGGUGAUAAUUUUUCAACUAUGUUAAAAAUGAUAGAAUUUUGUUCUUUUGUAGGUAUGUUUUGCAGAUCCAUAAUACAUGUUUUUUAUUAUUAUUUUUUAUCAUUUUUUUAUAUCUUUGUUGAGCUUUUUGAUUUCUGAUGUGGUUAAAACUGAAACAGAUGAUGAAAAUUUUUCAAAACUGUUGAAGACGACAGUAUUUUGCUUCUUUUACCAGCUGUAAUUAAGCAUUGAAACUAUAUAAUAUCCUUGGUUUUUUGCAGCAGAAUAUUUUGUUGCUGCAUGAGAAUGAUUCUUAUCUGUUAUUUUCUAAUUCAUAAGAGACUUUUUUUUUAUGUUUGAUGAUUUUGUGAAUUGCUGAUAAGAUGAAGUUUUAGUCUAAGAUUGGUAAAACAAUUGUAAUAGAUAAUUAGAAAUGAUACCAUGGUGCAAGUGGAUAAUGAAUAAGGACUCAGAGGAACCUGCCCUUUCAGAGCUAAGGCAUAUAUAGGAAUAGGACCAAGUUCUUAUAUGGCAAGUAUAAAUUGAAAUAUGAGAUUCCAACUGAUUUAUAUAGAUCCUGGGAUGUUUUGAGAUUCCAUCAUACCAAAUUGAGCCAUUCUCACAUGGCAUCAAGUGUUAUACCUUUAGAUGGACUACCUCAUAGAUAUCUGCAGGUUCAUCAAUGUCUUUUGUUUGGAAAUGUUUCUUAUGAAGUGAAAAAAACACUCAUUAACAGAUUGAUAAAUUUUUUAGGGGAAAAAAAAACAGAUUGAUGAAGUUACAUUUAAUAAAAUGAAAAUUACAAUUUUGAUAGAACAUAUAAUAUUGAUUGCUAAAAAAAAACUAUUUUGAUGCAUAAAUAGAACAAUCCCUUGCAUGACUUAGUAUUAAGAAACAAAAAUAGAACAAUCCCUUGUAUGGCUUAGUAUUAAGAAGUUAUCUUAUUGCUAUUAUAGAAGUAUGCCAUAUAUGGAUUAGUAUUUUUGACUUUUGGUGUGAUAUAUCAAAUCAGAACUUGUGACAAUGUUAUUCCUAGUAAAUAUUAACAUUUAAUGUCAAGUAUUUCUUACUGAAGAAAGAAACAUGGCAUUUUGGAGACUACUUUUGUGCUAGUCAGGUCUAAGUUUAGCAGUUCUCUCCCUCAUCUUGAUUAAUGAGUGCAGUAAAUAGACUCCAAGCUGCCAAAUUAGACUUAAGUAGAAAUCUAAUGGCUCAUGAUACUCCAGUUUCUCAAAUGGGAGACAAAAAUAGGAACAAAGAUAUGCUGAUUUUCUCUACUUGUUGGGACCUGUGAAUUUAUUUUGCUCAGACUUGCUGUUAUGUGGUAUGUCAGCAAAUAUUUUCUUAUAAAAAAUAGUUGUUAUUGAAGCUAUAUAUCAACCAUAUGCAUUGAUUUUAGCACUCAUAUUUUAGUGGGUUGUAACUUUGUAAUUGCUUAACAGUUUUUGUAGCAUUAGGUACAGAUUCACCUAUGUCCAUUUUUCUAGCAUGGAGAAAAGUUGAGAUUGAUGCAAUUUUAUUUAUUAGGGAAUAGAAACUCUGAAUAUCAACAUCUAUGACCAAUGUAUAUAUUGCAGUGACUAUCUUUUCAAGCUUCUGCUUAUUGGGGAUUCGGGGGUUGGAAAAUCAUGCCUUCUACUUAGAUUUGCGGUGAAGAUCUCCUCUUUUGUCUUCUUUUCUAGUUCUUUGGAACUUGCUAUCAUCUUAUGAUAAUACUCUGUUGUGCUACUUUUGGCUUUUUCUAUGACACUAUAUCUUUUACUGUAGGAACAUUGUUACCAUGGAGGCAUACUGUUUUGAUCAUAUGGGAACAUUAUGUGUAACUGUCCAAUUUUAGGUCAUGUAUUUGUUGUGUUUGCUCAUUCUUUAUUCAUGUAUGGUGGCAGUUUCUAGUUCAACUAUUUCUUGUUGAAAAUAAGCACACACAUUGUUUACAUAUAUGAUCUCUGAUUGUUGAUUUUCUAUGAUGCACACACAUAAUAUCCCUUUCCAUUAUAUUUAAAUUCAUAACAGUUGAGAUUAAUUUUUUAUUUUGUGAUAUCGAAAUAAAUUAAUAAUUAUGCACUUAAUCAUAUUAAUUUAUUUUGAUUUCACAUAAUGAAAAGUUAAUCUCAACCGUUGGGGAUUUAAAUGUAAUUACAAGAGACAUCAUGCCGUAUGGUAAACAAAAGUUUGUUUAUCUAGAAAUUAUGAUUUUAUUAUCUUGUCUUUAUCGAUAUGAGAAUUCAUGAGUGUUAAAUUAAUACCAAGGAUCAUUAUAAAACCUGACAGAACAUAUAAUGAUUACAUGAAAGAACCUCCUAAAAUAUAAGUGUUCUGAAUAAGGUUUAGGGUGGAACAAUAUGUGUAUUAUGGAAAACCAACAAUCAGAGAUCAUAUAAGCAAAUAGUGUAUGUGCUUGUUUUCAGGAAGAAAAUAGUUGAAGCAGGAAUUGCUGCGGUAGACGAAUAAAGAAUGAGCAAACACAACAUAUGUAUAAAUUGGAAGACCUUGUAGAUGAUUCCAGUCCAAGGAAACCCUUAGGCAUAUUAUUUACUGUGCCCGUUGUUGAGAUCAUCAGUUGAGAUCAUCAUUCUUCCGUUUCAGGUAUAUUAGUUUUAGGAAGUUGGAAGUCUCUUUUCCUUCUUAGGAUAUUUCUAUUUGAUGUAAUCAGGCAAGGUUUGUGAGUUACUGACUUCUCCCAACCCCCCAAGAGUUUCCCCCCUCAGGUUCUAAAUUCAUGAGAUGUAUUUUCAUGACAAUUCUAUGUUUUCUAUGUAACAAUGCCUCAGAUUUUGACAUAUCUAAAGUUUUUGGGCAAUUUCACAUUUGAUGAACACUUGUUCAUUUUAUAUUGUGCAGUAACAAGUGUGAAUUACAUGUUUUAUUGCAUGAAAUGUGCUACAUUGUCUUAUUUUUCUGCAUUUUUAUUGAACCAUAUGGAGAUCUAUGAUAUGUAAGUUUCUCUUCUUGCUUGCUUCAGGAUGAUUCCUAUAUAGAAAGUUACAUCAGUACAAUUGGUGUAGACUUUGUGAGUAUGCUUACACUUUUAUACCCUUCUCCCUCUUGCUCCCUUUUCUCCUCUCCCCACCCAAAACUUGUUUCAUGACAGUUUCUUUUUAUCUCAUUAGAAAAUUCGCACGGUAGAGCAGGAUGGGAAAACCAUAAAACUUCAAAUUGUAAGUAAGAAUGAAUUUAGCAUCUGUCGUGAAGCAUUUAGGUUCUUUUCAUGCUAUUACGUUUUCUCUUCAUUGCAGUGGGACACUGCUGGUCAGGAACGCUUCAGGACAAUCACAAGUAGCUACUACCGCGGUGCACAUGGGAUUAUUGUGAGAUCCAUCGUGAUUCUAUUGCUGUGAUUUCAGUUUUCAUGGUUUACUAUACUGUUUUGUUUGACAAUAUAUGCCUGACAGGUGGUCUAUGACGUAACUGACCAAGAAAGUUUCAACAAUGUCAAGCAGUGGCUGAAUGAGAUUGACAGGUAUGCCAGUGAAAAUGUGAACAAGCUUUUGGUGGGAAACAAGUGUGAUCUGACCGAUAAUAGGGCAGUAUCUUAUGAAGCUGGCAAGGUAAUUAUUGCUGUUAAGGAGUAACAAAGGCAGGAUCCCUCAUCUUCUGCAGUCUGCAAUUUGAGUCGAAUGAGCUAACAAUCUCUGGCCUUGGUUCCUGAAGGCAUUUGCGGAUGAGAUCGGCAUACCAUUCCUGGAGACAAGUGCCAAGGACGCUACGAAUGUAGAGAAGGCAUUUAUGACCAUGGCUGCUGAUAUAAAGAACAGGUGAGCUUUUAUUUGUCGACAUUUGCAUGGAAGAACACUCCAACCUCGUAGAAUUAUCACUGUUUGAUUCGUUUUUAGUCAAGCUUUUAGAUCAUACUGAUAGUGUCAUUGGAUUUUUGUGUACAGAAUGGCAAGUCAGCCAGCUAUGAAUGCCAGCAAACCUACGACGGUCCAGAUGCGGGGUCAACCAGUCGCCACGAAGAGUAGCUGCUGCUCCUGAAUCAAUUCAACACAAUCAUACGCCUUUGCUCCAGACGAGAGGUCAUUAUGCUGAUAAAAGUUGGGGGGCUGUUUAUGGCGUGUAUUUGUGAAUUACAAUCAGAAACUCUGCUUGGUUUGUAUUGGAUUUAAAAGAAACAGGUUUGUGUUUAUCUGCCACCCGGAUGAUCUUGAGGUAUUCAAGUAUUAAUGACACAAAUAGUUGCUAUCUUGAUCCUCGAACGUAAUUCAUCCUAUGUAUAUACAUAUUUGCUAGUUUGCACUGACUUGAUCUUGCACGGGCGAACGCUGCCGGCCUUCUCCUUUUUAAGUUUGAUGUUUUAUUAUUGAGUAACGUCUUGUGCCAAAUCAAUGUUGCAACCUUGAAUGCUACGACUUGUAAUCUGGCGCGUGCCAUGUGAGCCAUGUGAUCGCCGCGGAUGGAGUGUUAGGUUCGUAAAGGGUUAUCUCAUAAAAUCUAUAAAAGAGUAAAUUAAUUAGUUUAAAAACUAGAUAGGUUCUGAUAUCUGAUGUUAUUUAUAUGAUUAUUUAUAUGAUCAAUUCACGAAAGGUUAUGCAAGAGAAAAAAAAGAGGAAAGAGAAAACAAAUAUUUUAGAAUGCAAAUGAACAGUCGGAAGUCUGCAAAUGAUUGUUCACCGAGUGUCGAGGGCGAUGGCAAAUUCUUGUAGACUUUGAAAUUCGUUUCUAUUCAUAGUUUUCAAGCAAAAAUAUAGAAAAUUAAGGCAAAAUACACUGCUAAGCAUAUGUGCAAGCAAACAAAAGCGAUUAACAAUUCAUUGACAAAGAACCUAUCUAGUUUUUAACUGUUCGUGACAUUCUCCCUCACUUAAACUGUUGACGCUCUUCAUGCUCCCAAGUGUCUUCCGUUCGAGGAAGAUUUCAUCACUUUACUAAGUAUUCAGUCUGCUAUGCUCCGUUGGAUAGUUUUGUCUUAUGAUCCAUUAAAAUGAUUUCAACUCAUUUAUAAUAGGAAACUCUGGUGGGAGGUAACAAAGUUGAAAUACUUCAGGAAGCAUCCUACGGGUUUGAGUGAUAGGCUUGUAAGUUGCUUGCGUGGAAGACUUAAUGGAUUUUGAGUCACGCUUGUAGUUGUAACUUAUAGGAGACAUUGUCUACCAUGUUGAUAAUUGAGAAUGAUCCUUUGCGCACCAAUCUCUUAUGCACAUUAUGCUUAAAGAACUAGAGUGAUGCUAGUUGGAGCUUCAUCAAUACCAAGUCACCAAUUUUAAACUCUUAUGGUCGUGUUUCCAAGUUUGCCCAAUUCUUCAUCCUUUUGAUAACAUUUUCUAAGUAAGCUCACACAAAAUUUACAUUUUGGUGUUAUUCUUUUAUAAAGUGAUAUUCGGUAUAACCAAUCGCAGGUAUAAAGAGUCGAUGACUGUUGUCCCAUAAUGAUAUCGAAAGGACUCUAAUUAAAUGCAAAGCUCUACUGUAAGUUAUAGGAGAAUUGGGCUAUAUCCAAUAGCUUCAACUAAUCUCAUUAGUUAGUACUUACAGUGCCGAAGAUAUUACUUAAAGAGUAAAUUUGUUCUUUUAGUUUGGCUAUUUGUUUGGGUGUAAAGGUUUGUGGAGAAGUUUAACUUAGAUCCUAGUAAUUUGAACAACUCGAUCCAAAAUUGUCCAAAGAACCAUGCGUCUCGAUUACUAAUGAUAUUGUGCGGGACUCCCCAAUACUUCAGCACAUUCUUUAUCAUUAACUUGGUCAUGUCUUCUGUUGAGCAGUGUAAGGGUGCAACAAUGAUUGUUGCAAAUUUUAAAAAUCGAUCAACUACCACAAGUAUCGAUCCAAGUCUUUCUAUUAUCGGCAAGCUUGAUAUGAAGUAUAAAAAAAUAUUCUCCCGUGACCUUUUUGGUACGGACAAUGACUCAAAAAAUUUCAUUGGCUUUCAUUGCUUUACUUUGUGAUAAAUAAGACACGUUCGAAUAUAUUACUCCACAUCGGUCUUCGUUUUCGGCUCAUAAAAGACCCUCUCCACGAGACCCAAUAUUUAGUGAAUGUUUAGAUGUCUAACCUAAAAGAAAUCAUGACAUUCUCUUAGGAAUUUAUGCCUCAAACUAUUCAUUUAAAGAACAUAAACUUUAUUACUUCGAAGAACAUACUUUAUCAUCAAACUCAAUAAACUAUUGAGUAUCACAUUCUCAUCAGCUUAAUAUCAACUCGGAUGUCUUGUCACUUCGAUAUUUGGUGGGCUGAUGUUGGGUUGCAAUGAUGUAAUUGUCCAAAAAGUUAAUUUGAUUUUUAAUUACCCUAAUGUUUAUUUACUUCAAUCAGUUAUCAAAAAUCAUUAUAAAAAGCCGAGAUACGAUUAGUUUGACCAAAGAUUAUUAUAACACUAUAAGAAAAACCUUAGUUAGCUCUGAAUCUCCUUCCGAUGGAUAAUAAAUUUAUUAUUAUAAAUUAGUGUUAGAACGAGGACCUAAUAUAACUCAUAUAUCAUAAGAUAAUUGAGUCAAAACCUCAUGAGAUCACAUAAAAGAUUCGAUACUAUUAACGCAAACACUUGCUUUGAGAAUAGGAUUAGGAAACCCUUUUUUCCUUAUCCUUAAAGCACAGUAACACUUCAACAUUUAGAUGAUGCUAGUUACAUCACUUAUGAUGAAUCAAUCAUCGUGCUGAAUUAGUUGUAGAAUAGACCAUGUAUAAAAAUAGAUCAACAGACACAAAUGAAUCGAUCAACAAACACAAAUGAAUCGUUUAAGCAUUGUAAAUCAAAAUUAAAUAAUAUUUUUUCACAAGUGAAAGAUACUAAUAAAUAAAUAUAAAUAUAAAAUAAAUUUAGAAUAUUUUUAUAAUUUAAAAUAUUUGAUUUCGAAACAUGACUCUAAUAUCAAUUAUAAACAUAAAACUAUAAUAUAUUAAUAUUAUGUAAAAAUACUGAUAUAUUAAAUUUAUAAUAUAUACCUUUGAAUACCGGUCGGAAAACCUUUAUUUGAUUUACAAACACACAUCAUUGAAUUUGAAAGUUACAAUAAUAUUAAUUUAUAAAGAGAACUAUAUUUCUUUUCUUAUUCUUGUAAACUAUAAGCAAUAAAUUAGAGACAAAUAAAAGAUCUUAGAAAUAAAUAUUUUGAGAAGAGCCAACACAAGUUCCUAAAAGUCAAGUCGACGAUUUCAAGUCAUAACCCCUUAAAAACUAUAUUUGAGAGACAAAUUAAAAGGACUCAACUUAAAGGAACACAACUUUAAAUGUUACAAAUUAGAUCUCCAUGGAGUUGUAGGACACUUUGGAGAUGCUAAACAAUCUCAUCACAAUAAAUGAUACUCAACUUAACAAUACACAACUCAAAAGUGUCCUACAAACAUUAGAGAUCAUCACUCUAAUACUUAUCUUAAUUAUAAGCAGCCUCUAAAUCCCCUUAAGAAAGAGAUUUUUGCCACACACAUCCCCAAGCAAUUUUGUAAGAAUGUAACCAAACCCAGGUGAAGUACUAUUACAUGAAUCAAACAUUCAAACAUUAUAUCGACAUUAAUGAAACAAUUGAUUCUCCUUUCUCAAGGCAUCAAUUUGCAAUCGCCACUCCAAAACAUACUAACCAACAUUGUAUCGACAAUAAAGAAAUAAUUGAUUCUCCUUUCUCAAGGCAUCAAUUUGCCGGGACAUUAAUAAACGGAUUGAAUGUCAAAUAAGGCUUCAAAGUACGUCUAUCCGCGUACUGGUUGGUACCUAUCGGUGAUCGGACGCCAAUAAGAGGCUCAGAAUACAUUGCUCAGAAGCCAAGCGUAACAAAGGCACUUCAUCGAAGACCCAAUUUGGUUGAAAGGAUCUUCUUACGUGUUAGCAGCUCAUCAUAGCAAUGUUUUCUCGGUGUUGACGAAAACCACACAGGCGAACGCUAAAUAAGCAGGUUUAGAAUCGAUACUGCUUAGUCUUUUGAAACACAUGGCUGUUUCAUACGGCCAAAAAGGAAAACUCGAAUGCAUUAUAGAAAAUGAAGCGCCAAUCAUGCAUAUCUCCACAAAUUGCUACAAGAAAUAUCAAUUGUUUGGCGAGCUAAUCUACAUCAUGUAAUGAAUGAUACCUAGAACUCAGUGAACGCUUGCCUGCUUCUAGUCCCAGAAUCAAAAGACAGAGACACUGAAUGCUUAGAAUCAAGGGAAAGGGAACCCGAAAUCGUUGCCAGAGACGGAAAAAAAGGACAAGAACGAAUGACUUGCAUAAUCGGGGAUCAAGCGAUUUUUAACACAAAUCAAUUUUGUAUCGAAGCAAAGAGUAAAAUCCUGGAGAAACCGAAACAAUCAGCGAAAAUCCAACUGCGCAAUAUCACAAGUGCACAAACUUUGACCGACAAGAGGUCUCCUCACUACAACCAAGGACCACGGGUCUCCGGCUGAAAUCAUUCGCGAAGCCCCUAGAAACAGUGGAACAAAGGCAACGACGAAGGAUUCGGCGAAAGAAAGGGGAGAGGAAACGAGGAGGUAAGGUCGCCUCCGCAAGCGAAUGGGAGGACGCGAACGAAUCGGAAGCUCGGACCACCACCGCUUAUAUAGCGCUGGAGGUCCGAAAACCCUAAAGCGUUCGGCCGAUCGCCUCCUCGUGUUAUGACCUAAGUGCCCCUGGUGGCCGAUUUGUUCGUUCCUUAUGUUAAGACGAAAGUACCCUUGAGCGUCCAAGAACCAACGGUUUCAGAUCCGUAUGUUAUGACGAAAGUACCCUCGAUCUUCCAAGAACCAACGGUUUUAGAUCCAUGGGCUAAAUAAAUAGCAAAUGCAAUAGAGACGCAUGUAAUGACGGAAGUGCCCCCGUAGGACCCAAGAAUUCCAAUCGACUCCAACGUAUUUGGAGCCUUCUGAUGCCUCGAGCAGAGUGAAAGGGAAGCCUUCAUCCAAAGCUUUGGGGCCGGAUUUGAAGUGAGAAAAAAUUGUGACAAAUACACAGCUGAAACUUAUACAGAUUAAUUUUAAUUUUCGUGCAUUAAUGGCUCCUCACAAGUAUGUGCUUUCGCUGGACCGACAGCAGAAAGCGCCUCAAAGAACGGGAGGAGGUCGCUAACAAGUCUCUCGUGAAUUCAUAUGACCACGGAAAGUCUCGCCAGCUCCCAAAGCAAUAUGAAGAACAAGAAGAAAAAGACGCAUAUCGCAUAGAGAAGGAAUGCCACAAAGCGUCUCUUCCUUGUGCUGUAGGCGAUGAUAGGGCAUGUAAGCGAGUUGGGAACAAAACUGAAAAGGACAAGUAGUUCAGGAAAAAGGAAACGAAACUAAGAUUUAGAGAUGAUAAAAAAAAAAAAAUCCACAGUAUUAAUCGAGGUACUAACAUUGAGAACUAGUCAUACCACUCCUCUCAAAGAAUCCAGUUUUUGAUGAAAUAAGAGACUGAAUUCAAAACCAUAAAAGAACAUAGGAAAAGCUUAUCGAAAUUUUUUGAUGAACAGGACAAAGAUUUAGCUUCUCAAAAUUUUUCGAUGAACAUGACAAAGCUCCUCGAAACCAUUAAGAUUUUCAAUGCUACAUCAAAACUCGAAGCAUUAUAUCUUCGUCUUGGAUGUCUACAUCAUAUACAGUCAUCAUAUCAACCUCGGACGGACUGAAUAUGUUUCGACCUGGCUACAGACACAGCUCAACAAUUCUCCCUUUCCCCAAUGAACUGCAAUGAGAUAAAAGAUAUGGACAACAUUAUGCAUCAAACAAGCAGUAGAAAUUUACAGUGUCAGUGACCGAGAAAUGCCAAGUAGGUAGAAAGCACACACUCAUGACCGAGUCAUGCUUUGAGAAAAGUCAUUGUUCCAAUACACUUGAUGUUAGCUAUUGCUUGUCAAUCGUGUUGACGAGCUCAAUGCUUCAGUGAUCCUACUGAAGACGAGUCUAAGUGGAACACAUGCAACGGCAGGUCCCACCAUCUUUUCAACCACUGGCUUUCUCUCUUCUCCCUUUUCUUUCUGAUCAACAUUAAUUGAUGACAGCCUUCUGAUCUUUCUGGGAGACAACCUUGGUUUCCUGUUUUUCGAAUAUUUCCUUUUCAAUGAAGUAACAUUUGUAACUUCACAGUUUAUCCCAACAACAUUGAGAUACAUCUGGGCCGACUUCCUUUUAGGUAGCGAUUUCCCAAUACUAUUUCCCCCAUCCUUCAGUGACUGAUCAAUAUGCCUGGUAGUUAACAGAGUAUCGACUAAGCCAUCUUCCACAACCUCUAUAGGAACGGGGUGACCGACAAUUUCUUUACUAUUUGAUUUACUCAUGAGAGAUAUUAGAGGUACAUGAGGUCCACGAUAGCUUGAUUGUACAGUCACUUCAACAUCGUAUAGACAAGAACCCACACCUGUAAAUUUCAGUUGCUUCGACACCUGAUACUUAGAGCUAGUUGAUAGAGAAACCUGGCCAUGAGGAAACAAUCGUUGAAUCAGCAGAGCGGAGAUAGGCACAUGUCUCUUGGAUGAUCUAUCUUGAUCUCUUGCAUGUGCAGGCUGAAUUUUUACAAGUUCUGACAGGGAAUGUCCAUGUUCAUCAGAAAGGUGAAGAUCAGAACUCUGAUUUGGGGGAACGUCAUGUACCUCUGAGACUGAUUCAUCCUUCACCAACUGACCACCAUGAGAAUUGGAGGUCACGGAUUCACCAAAACAACUGCCAUCAAUUUUACAACCUGCAAAAUACCUUUCCUCCUGUAUUUUACCCUUCAAGGAACUGUCAGGAACAGCCCCAUUCAUAAAGUUUUCUGAACUUGUAUUUUUGCUAAACCUUGAAUUGUUCAGGUUCUUUUUAUGGUUUAAAUGCCGUUCCAAGGACCUUUUUUCUGUUUCCCCUUUGAUGUUCUUAAACCGACCCUCCGAGCCAGUGAAGCUACUCUCACCAAGUCCUUCUGUGAAGUGUGAUUCAAGUUCAUCCUGGUGGCAACCAUUAUGUUGCUUUUCUGCUACAUCAGGGUGAAGAUCUCUAGUUGGAAAGUGUUCAAACAUGAUUGAAAAAUCUGGAACAUCAUAUUACAAACAAGUUAGUCAUUUUUACAAUCAAGAUUAUUGCAUUAACAUGGAAGACAAAAAGUGCACAUUCUCUGCAUUCUAAAUUGUAAUUAUGUACAUAACACCAACAUCAUAGUAACAGAAGAAUAACAUCUAGUUAUUUCAGUGCUGAUAAUUUUAUUUGGCACAGUUUAUAGUCUCACACAUAUGGUUGCCUUAAACUUAUGUUUCUUUAAAACAACUAAGCACCUUUAUAGAUCAAAACUAACUAACGAAUAAACAAGUGAGAGAAAAGAAGUUGGAAAGCAACAAAGUGACAUGAAAAGAUUACAGAACGAAAAAAUAGUCAGCAAAAAAUCCUGACAUAUUAUCAAGUUCCCAAAAAGAUAUAUGAUUAAUAUAUCAGUAGUAAGAAUCUGCAUUAACAAGAUUAAUUAAACAUGAAUUUACCAGCAAACAAGGGUAAAUGCUGAGUCUUUGGUAUCAUCAGGUAAAGACAUUCAAGUCAACUCCUAAUAAAAGAAAUUUUAAGGGUAAUGUGGGUGUGCAAAAUACAGACACCAUAACAUUGUUUGGUGAAAGAAGCAAGCUUACAUAAGCAUAAUUUGAAAUAUGUAAUUUCCUCAAAGAAUGACAAAAUGUUCUACAUGUAUAUCUCCUCACAAACUCAUGCAAAGUUGGUAGUCACUACAGUAGAAAUUGUACUUACGACAGUGUGCAUAAUAUCCUACUGGUGCAUGCUGCAGCAUGCCUGUGCAUAAUUGAUGUAGAUCGAGAGGUCAUGAAUCGGUCUAGGUUAAGAUGGGCCAUAUUACUUUUUCUGUUUUUAAAUAUUUAAGAAAAUUCUCAUUGCUUCUUUAUAUUUUGGAAAUAAAUAUCAAUGAGUUUGAGUCCCAAAAAACCAAGGACUCAAACUCACAAGCUAUACUGCCAUCUUUAUAUUUUGGAAAUAAAUAUCAAUGCUUUUACGUCAGAAAAAUAAACAAUGAAUAAGCCAUGGUCAUUAGUUUCUUACAACAAGGGGGGGGGAAAGACAAAUUUUUGGAGCUUGAUUGUUGAUAGAAAGGUCCUAUGAUCGAAUCUCAUCUUUGACGCUUACCAAAGUGAAAAUAAAAAGAGCUUAAGGGAUAAUAGUAACAAUAUUCUUAACCUACUAGCUUAACAACACGAAAAAUUCAAGAUGUAUAUGAACACUUAAACAGUAGUAGAAGUCAAGACUUGCAAUCAAGGUAAGAUAAGCUGAACUGCAACACGGAUAUGAUAAACAGAAAUGCACUCUCUACAACCAUAGGUAAUACUUGUUUACAAGGAACGCAGUCUCAUACCGACUGGCCAUAUCAGUCCUAGUCGAACAGGUACAUACAUACCCACUGAUAUAAGUGUAUGGCACAUGGUACACGAGUAUGUACCAAUGAAAUAGAUGGCAGCGGAGAAGAAAGGAGGAAGGAGGAAGAGGAAGUAAGAAAAGAGGCAGUGAAGAAAGAGGAGGAAGAAGAAAAAGAAGGAAGAGGAAAGAAGAAGAGGUGGCCGUGGAGGAAGGAGGAAGGGGGAAGAGGAAAAGGAUACAAGAAGGAUGGAGGAAGAAGAGGAGGAAGAGAAGGAAACAUAUCUGAAACGACAGCAGGCAAUGGGCGGCGGGCAGUGAGAGGUGAUAGCAAUGACUCGGAUGAGUGUCGGGGAAGAGAGCUAACGAAUGCAAGCCCAAACUUGUUUUUUUUUUUAUUGGUUGGAACAGACUGCCUGAAACGCGAUAGUCCAUGUACCAUUCUAUGUCCAAACCGGUAUGCUUUACUUAUCUGAGCAAAACAGCAUUCCUCGGUUGUGUACAUAUAAUCCUCUCCAACCUUCCAUUGGCACAAAAAAUCAUGUACCAAGCUAUAGUUAGUAAUAAAUUAAGUAGACGAUAAGAAAGAGAUGACACUCAUCCAAGAAUAUGACUGCAAGAAUCUAGAAUUCAUCAAAAAAGGAAAAAAAAUUAUAAUAGAAACAAACCCUCAAAUGUAAUAAUCCAGGUGAAAAAAAUUUCUGGAUAAGUACCUAUGAUGACCAAGUAUGCAGCAUAAGGACACAUCUUAAACUAAAACUGGGUUUAAGCUACAAGAAGCAUAAAAAUCCUUAUAGUAUGUCAAUACCAAUAUCCCACUCUACAGUGGGCAGCUGCAAAAUCCAAGUUCGUUGACAAGGUAACAUUGACAGAUUAUCUGGUAUAACAAUGGCAUCCAAGUCAUGUAACUUAGUAAUGCCAAUUUAUGAUCAGAAUGGCAUAAUAAAUGGCACAUGAAUGCACUGAAAAUGCCUAACAUUAGUUUACCAUGCUGAAGCAACAAGAUGUGUCAUCUCAUGCAAUUUAACUUUAAAUGUCAGGAUCUUCAUUGUUAUUCAAAUUUAGAAAUAGAAGAAAAUUAUAAGAAGAUCAAUUUUUAACACAAACAAAGGAGGAAAUUUGUAAGCAUACCUUCCCUGAUAUUGUCUGCCAUUAUCAGGGGAAUAUCAAUGAGGCCAUCGGAGCAGUCAUUGUCAAUAAACUCCAACAUGCUCGCAAGCUCCGAGUCCUUUACUUCAGAAUCAAAAUUUGCAUCAUCAAUUUCACGAGUGUUCUCACAAGCAUUCAACAAUGCCUCACUUGAAGUUCCUGAACAGUGUGGGCUGACGGUGAUGUCACAUGAAAUAUCUGUCCUCCUUGAAUUAGAUAGCAAUUCAUUCAACUUAUUUGGAGAAGCCCCUUGAAGAGAUGGUUGCCCUCCAAAAGCACCAUCCCAGUGACAAUAUGAUGGAACUAUAACUUUAGUACCCUCGCAAACUUUACUAAGUGCUAGUCGACGAUCUUUUCUUCUCACAUUCUCAUGAGAUUGGGCCACAUGUGAUCUCUUCCUUUUCAGGGAUGAAAAAGAAUCUUUGCUGCUCUUUAUUGAACUCAAACUAGAAAAUCCAUCAUAAAUGUCUGACUUGCUAAGUGAAGCAUUGUCAGGAAGGCCUAGCUCAGUGGACCAUCCUGUGCUAGCAUGCACAUUAGGCUUUCUAUUGGAUACAACCCCCAAACCUAUUUCCUGAAGAUCUCUCAUUCGUUUUAUUCCUUCGUUAUCUUCUGAAUCAUUUGGAGUUUUCCUUCUUUUUUUUUCUGAUUGCUUAAUAUCAGGAGAAAUCAGAUCGUUUGUUUGUUCAUAUGACACUAAAGAUUGAGAUACCUCUUGAGCCGAAUUCUCCUCAAGAACAUCGAGUUUCCUGGCCACAUGACCUAAUUGUUUGUCAAGCCCAUAUACCUUUCUUGACUUCAUGGGAAAAUCAUAACCCAUUGUUCUGAAAGGGUCCUUCACUCCUGAGCCAUUCUGCUUCCCAGUAAGGAAGUAAGCCUUUUCAAUCUCCAGGGCAUGGAGAAUGGCAUCUUCUCUGCGAAUGUACUUCCCUGUACUGGUUGAACUUUUCUUUGAACGGAUUGCAAAAGCCAUGGCCUUCUGAAUGCACUCAUCAAACUCCCCACAACGAAAUGCUUUGACACGAGUUGAUUUUGCAAGAUUAUACCAGUCCCUGAUUGCAAGUUGAUUAUUAGCAAACUUAAGCUUAUACUGACUGCAUGGUACUUAAACCAUGAAAUAGAAAGGUGAACAGAUAUAGCAUAUGUGCAUAUAGCUACUUUGCUCAGAUUUUGUAACCGCAUAAUUCAAGAUACAGAAAAUCAUGCACCAAACAUAAAUAAACGAAAGAAGGCACAAUCAGUAUCAUUGUUGUUGCCAUGUUCCUUGUUAUUUUCCAAGAUGUCACUGAGCAACUUAGGUUGGCCUUGAUGCACAACUGUUAAGUCAAUAAGGCUCCAUGGAAGGUUUGAGUUGCCUUUUUUUUAUAGCUCUCUGUCUAAAGUUGACUAAAAAAUUACCAUCAAAUCCCAGCCAAAAUAGAAGUAGUGGCAGCAAAUGAACUCAUUUUACAUCCCUUGUCUUUAAAGCCAGCUGAAACAAUGGUGUGAGGUAGAAUUAAAAAAAAAAAAGACAAUGAUCCAUAUGGUUCAUGUUAACAGAAUCGGCUACUAAUAAGUGUUCAGUGUUAAAUCUUAUCAUCUGAUCUUCAGUGGAUAUGAGAAUAGAAAAAAAAGAAAAUCUGUAACCAAAUACAAAACAGAACAUCAUUCAAGAUACGAAGAAUAUUCAGGCCACUUAAAAUAGGCAGAAGAAGGGGAUCUACAGAUGAGGAUACUCACAUGCUCCCAUCUUCUCUACCAAGAAGCUUGAUGGGAGUCCCUGAUCUCGGCGGAAGCACACAUUUCGCUGGCAAUUCAUCCCGACCAACAACCCGGCCCGGCCACCAUGACCCGUUAGGGCGACGCACCCACACGAGGCCCCCAGCCGACACAUUGUUGCUGCUCAAAAUCCCAUCUUGUUCACUGCCCAUAGAAAAAGAACUCGAAUCCACCAAAUCAAGAAUCACACGAUGUCGUACUGCUCCACCUACAAAGGGAACCGACGAAGCAAAACAAGAACAAGAAGAAACUGUUAGGUUACUGAACCACUCAUGCAUGGGUUUCUUGAACCAUCAGCCCAAAACUCGUUGGAGAAGGAUUAAAAAUGAAAGAUAAGAAUGGGGGAAUAUACUCCAUUAUGCAUUAGAGGAGGGGGAGAGGGGGUUGGGAGAGAGGGAAAUCCUAGAACAGAUGCUGCUACCUCGAAUAACCAAGAAAACAGAAGAGAUAUGCGAAGUGAACAAGGAAGAAACUUUCAAAGAGCACUAAAAACUCUUCGAUAGAAGAAGAAAGGCAACGAAACAAACCAAAGGAAAUAAAAGAGACGAGCUAUUCUUCGACGGAGAGGAAAGAGGGAAAGGAGGCUCUCCCCGGCAGAGGAGAAACAAGGACCAAAGGGACCAAAAAAACUGAAAAAAGAUGAUUAAAAACGAGAAUAAGAAUCAAGGACGGGGAGAUGAUUUCCAUCUGCACCUCUCCUACCUCUUCUUUCGGGUUCGUCGCUAUAGAAAGCGGCUCGAUCUUGUUUUCUCCAUUACACUUAGUUGCCGGGACAGCUGCGGAAGAGAAGGUUGGUGGGAGCGGAGAUGUCUGCAAUGGCAGAGAAGGGAGGAGAGAGCAGUGUUGGGAUGCGUUUCCUUUAGGAAGAGGUGGAGAGGAGGAGGAGGAGCGACAGACGGCGAAGCGAGUGAGGAAGGAGGGGGCGAGAGAGAGAGAGAGACAGAGAGACAAAAGUGCGAGCAGGAAGCAGCGCAUCCGGCGCAGGGAUUAGUACGAGUUGGGCUUUGGCCCGGCCAAAUGGGACUCGGUGCUGGUAUCUUCAGGACUCGAGUGACGCAGGAAGACGAAAGAACGACAUCGGCGGACACACAUGGCGACGAGCUGCUCAUCACCGAUGAUCCCGUUCUUAAUCCAACUGUGCCUACCGUUCACAUACCAAUUAUUCAUAAACAAACGACAAAGAUCUUAACAGCCGUCAAAGAAAAAUAGGGUUUCGACUCUCAUUUCGUUUAGAUAUUAGUUUUCAGAGAAAGAACAAAAAAAAAAAAAAAGAAGCCAUCUGUAGCCGAUCUCACUGUCAUAAUGUUUUAUUAUUAUUAUUUUUUUUCUUCUAUCAAAAUUUCAUUUGAUUUUAUUAUUUUAAAUUGAUCAACGAAACGGUCCGACCAUAACCUUUCAUUUCAUGGUCAGGACAUACAUAUAUAUUCAGUAAUUUAACGUCCAAAACUUGAGCAGCAACCAUGAACACAUCUAAAUUCCAAGAUGAUACAAGGAAAAGCAACAACCAUGAACACAUCAAGAGUUUCAACACAAUGUUGUUUACCAAUAUCGCAUCAAUACCAAUCCCAAAUAUUUAAACCUCAUCUUUAUGCAUGUUUUCGCUGAACCCAUAAGUACUUCGUCACGCCUCAAGUGCUUCAAAACAAAGAUAAAAGGAUUCCUCGCAGGAGCAAUGUCGCCAAUAAUAUAUGAUCAAAGAAAUGAGAGCGUAUCAUGUAUAAAACGCAAAUAUCACUCGAUCAACUCGUAAAAAUGGCACCAAAAAGGAGAAAGUAGCACAUUUGUGGAAGCUAUUUACCAAACAAUAACCAGGAUAUUUUAGGUCCCGUAACAAAUAAAAGUCAUCUGUACUCCAGAUUUAACAGUACAAGUCCUCUUGAUCUUUUUCUGUGUUCCACAUGUCAAACCACUCUGGCUUUAUACACGCAGAUGUAUGCCAUGUGCCAAUCACCUGCCAGAAAUGUUCAACUUCGUUUGAGCAAAAGUCCAACAACAACAAAAAAGUUCAAUAAUUCUCUCUUUUAAGUGUCUUACCACCGCCAGAUAGUUUUGUAAUAUCUUCUUCCCUUUGUGGGAUUGGAUUGUCAUCAUCAUAUUGAAUCCAUUUUCCUGCAUCAUCAGCAGUUUUCACGAUAAGAAACGAAAUGAAUGACAAAGGGCAAGCAAAGGAAUAUCUAAGCCUAUUAGACAGACCAUUUUCUUGUUUCACCCAGGCAACGUAGUGCCCAGAGUCAGCACUCCUUCCCUUGUGAGUAAGCACAGCUACCAAAUCAUAAAUUCCAGUUAACUGCCCCUUAUCUUCAGAAGAUACAGCUGUCGACAUCAGAGCAAAGAAAAUAAGCGACUUUGAUCUAAAUUGGUAGGUAUCAUCCCCUGUAAUUUCAUAGUUCAUAUAAAAGUCAGGCAUCUUGUGAAUUUAUCGAUUGGUGGUGUUUACUUAUGUAAUGAUUCAUGAAUCUGUAAGUUAUCAAGUUCCUUAACCUGGACGAACAAACUAUGCUUAUUGCUGUGUAACAUGGAGGAGAUAUUAGGGGUAUCAUCCUCAGAUGGAGCCAUGACCUGUGGAGUCUUUUAAUUAGUCUUCCCAUGGUUUAAACAUGAGGAAACAGCAAAGAACAAACAAAUGCAUGCAAAGCAUUUCCCCCCUUCCCUUCCUUUUUAAUGUUCUAUGUAAAUUUAGCUGCAUCGUUUCAAUGUUCUGUGUAAAUUUGGCAGCACUCUGUCUAGUUUUUUUCGAGAGAAGCAAUACUGAUAAGCACCUCUCAUAAAUGAAAGGACAGAAAAUUGAAAGAGAAUAAAAAUAAAAAGUAUGGAGGUUGGGUAGGGAAAACAAAUGGAAUUUAUAACAUGCAUUACAAUAAUGAAAAGAAAUCUAGGAAACCAACAACAUGAUAACUUGUUGGUUGCCAAUCCUUCAUACGCAAGGGUCUUGUAUACACAGAUGCAUUAGGGUGCAGGUGUAGAUAAUAAGCGGAUGAGCUAUGAUCCACAUCAGUGAGCACCAGACAUGAUCUUUGUUCAGUAGAAAGAGGAUCCAUGGUGAAAACCAUAAAGAAGUUUCUCAACUUGUGUUCGGAAAAAAGAUACCAUAGGACACCCAGUAUUUUGCAAUACUUCUCAACUCUAAAGAAGUAUGCACUGAAAGUUCUUAAUUUUGCAAUACCACAAAAGACGCCCAGUAUGUUCAUCCCGACCACAAAAUUGUCAUAAACACACAUCCCACACCCCCACCCAAAAAAAUGAAAAAUUGAUGCACCUAAUGAACCAACACAAAUCAUGAUUCCAAUACACCCAUAUAUCCAUCUGAACACAGUAUGUGGUGUGCUAUGUAUAUGAGAUUUCACUAAAGUUUGAUGAUGCUGAAUUCAGACACCAUAAUAUUGAUUGGAAAGAAGGGGAUCGUAAAAGAACCAAACCUGAAAUGCAGUUAGACCACUAAAUGGGCCAAACUAAGGACAGAAUCAUACAUGUCAGGCCCAAGUCAGAUGCAGGUCAGCCUGUACCAAAAACCCUAACCCUACCCUUGGUCAUCAGAGAAAGGAAGAAUACAAGUUCAUCUGAUGAACUUCGGAGGCAAAUGAUAUGUCAACAAUUAUAAGCAUUUGAGAUAGUCAUGAAGGAUGUUAUCAAUCAUAAAUAGGGCUUAAAUUGUUGACAAUGAAAUGCGUUGAGAAGCAUGAUUAAGAUGGCAAUUGGGAAAUACAGAAAACACAAGAAACAUCAUACUAUUAUAAAUUAAUGCCUUCGAGCUGCAAGCAAAUAAUUGGGAUGCAAGACCACUGUGAUGGAGAGUGAUAUCCGACUACACGACCUUUUGUUAAACUCUACAUGGACCUUCAUACAUCAACAAUAACUAUCAAUUACCUUUGUCAAGAGCCAUGCUAGAUGGUUCACUACUAUCAUUAGAUGACCCCUGCAGAACAUUCAAGAAAACAAAGAAAAAGAGAAUAGAGUUAAGCAAGUGAAGCAAGUGAAGCAACUUAUUCUAGCACAUAUUUACAAUAAACCAGCCUCUUCAUAAAUAUUUGUGAUGCUAAAAUGACUUCUUGACACUGUGUCACUUCUCAGAAGGCCUUAGCAUUACUACCUAAAUGCUGCUAUGAUUACUAUUUUGCAAUCUAUAAGGUGGGUACCAUAUCCAAUUUUAGUAUCAGUUGAGAAGCUGCUAAGCCUAAUUAGCACCUUGUUACCGCUUGUCCGAUCCAACUCAGUGAGUUCAAUGACAAUAGAUUCCAACCUUUAUACUUACUAUUCAAUACCAAAAGAACUGCAGGUCUAAUCAACAAUAUAUAUGCAAUUUAUAUAUGUUCAAUGAUUAUUGGGCUCACCUAAUCAUUGAUUUACAUACCAAAAGAAAGAGGGCUGUCUUGAUUUACAUACCUCUGAUGUAGGCAUGUUGACUUCAUGUUCCUUCUUCUUGUCUUCUACUUUUAAUCCAAGCUUGACAUUUUCUAACUCUCGUAGUGUCUUAUCCAUGUCAAUUGAGCAAAUCACGGGUAAAUUAUAAGAAUAUCAGUAAAAUAUUGUAAUUUUCCGUCAAACUAAAGGGCACAAAAGAAAGGUGGGCAAAACCUGACGAGGAGUCUGAAGCUUUUGACGAAGUUCAUCUGAACAGAACUCAUAAACAUCAAGUUCCAAAGGAUAAUCCACUUUCUGAAAAAAAAAAAGGGAAACAAAAUAAGCUUCCAUGUCCAUGGCAAGGACCACUGAAACUCUUGAUAGUUAUUGCCAGAUUCAAAUCAUUUAACAAACAUACACAAAAGAAAAAAGAAUAUCACAUGAAUUCACCUAUAAAAUUUACAAAGGAAAGCGGCACUCCAAAGAUACACGAUAAAGUAUAAAACUAACAUACCCGCAAUAUUUUUGCCUUCUGGUUAGACUCCCUUUUCCAGAAGAAACGAACAAACUGAACAGUCAGAUACCUGAGAAGGAAAUCAAAUAAGAACCAUCUUCAAAACAAUGAACAAUCAAGUCCCGGAGAAGGAAAUCAAAUAAAUAACCAUUUCGAGAAAAAAUAUUAAAACUAUUUUUAGAAGAAAAAAACCACUUUAAAAUUUUAUAAAAGAAACAAAAAAAGUGAAAAAACUAGACUUGCCUGGGCAAUUCACUAAUGCAUGAUUCUUUUGAAAAAACUGCACUGCGUCCCAAAGAAGUAGACAUCUUCUCUAGUUCUGACUUUAGGCCCUGAAGUGAACAAAAAGCACUGUGAACAUCAGAUAAUGAACAUCCAACACAAACAUAGACACAUAGACACCUAACUAAUAUAUAUUCUAGAAUUUGGCUUUUAUUUGGUAUAGCUAUAAAAUAUUUUAUAUAAAUUUCCAAAAAAGCUUAUGACUAAUGACACUUACACGUCUGAGCCCCUCAUGCAAGUGGUUGAUAUCCUGCGAGAUAUGGCAUUUUAGUGCAUAAACCGAUUCAUUCUCAAAGCUUUCUUCACUGCUUUCUGCACAAUAGACCCUGGAAUAGAUAAUAAAAUGUCAAACAAUUCGUCAUCAAAAUCCAGUGAAAUAAGCAGAUAAUAACCAAAAUGGCAUUUUAAUUUAAAGAUGGAUGUUCCACACCAAACCCCACAUGAGUGGGAAAGGUGCAUUCGACCGUCCAUUUGUUGCACAUCCAAGUUCAAUAUCAUGAGAACAACAGAAAAGAAAUAUUUUGGAAAACAAAACACCUCAGACACAAAGUCCAACUCAAGAUUGCUUUGUUAACUAUCUUCUUUUAUUUAAUAUGUUGCAUAAAACAUAUACAAGGAUGCACUGGUACAAAUAUUAUUCUACCCAGGAUUUGCCACCCAAGUAAUGCCCUCAUAUCUCUUCCUUGUUGGCAUGAUGCAUCCCGUAUAUCAUGUCCUGGGCUGGCAUGUUAGUCAUCUGUUUCUGCCAACAGUCAGUGGAUAACAUUUUGGUAAAUCCAGCUUUAGAAGAUGAAUUUUCAUAAACUAAUGGGUUCUAAUUUGUUUUAUUCUAAUGUACAAAAGUUUUAGACCUUGCACGCUUAUGUCAAAAUGUAAGAAUUCAUUAACAAUUUUGAUUUUCAGGUUUGAAUAAUUAACAAAAAAACAAUACCUACCAGAUAAUCUCAAUUAGUUCAUGAUAUUCUUCAGUAAAAUGUAUUUAAUUUUUGAUAAAUGGACAAUUUAAUAAACCUAAGUCUUGAAACUCAAACAUCAUUUAAAGUUGUUGUAAAUCAAGCAAUGAAGCAAGAUUAAAUUUUCUAUCAAUGAAAAACAGAAUUAUGGAUCAACCAUUUAGUUUGUUUUUCCUAUGGCAAGGACCAAGAUUAGCAGGAUUGCAAGUGAAUCUAGAAGACACCAUUUGAUAUGACACAAAGCCUAUUAGGAACCCUUGCUACAAUCAACAUUUUUAUUUCACAAUUGCUUCAUUAUUUAUAAAUUUAGUUUAAUUUUUCAAUAAUAUUAAACACUCUUAUAUGCAAGGUAUGCAAUAUCAUACCGUACCGGUGUUUCAAGGUUGGCUCGAUACAGUACGGUACCGGCAUACCGAGCUGUACAUCAUGGCAUACCGAGCAGUACAUCAGGACUUACCGAGCGAUUUCCUCUUACUAUAUCACUGUAGCAUUGCUACAGUGUAGCACUGUAGCACUGCUACAGUGUAGCACGGUCUGUCCGGUAACGGGCGAUCCGCGUACCGGUAUACUGUCGGACCGGUACGUACCACCCGUAUCGAACAGUACCAUUCAAAAUUACAUACCAUGCUUAUAUGUGCUUGCAUGGAUAAAACAUAUUUGUUCAAAGCUUAUUUUAUAAUUUUUUCAGCAAGGAAACAAAGAUUUGAAAGCAUCUUUCACCACAAAAGAAGUGAGUUAUGAUAAAAAACAGAAUGUAGAAUUCACCUUUCAUUUUGAAAUUACAUAAUUUUUCUUGAAAUUCAUAUUCAUUAAUAUAAGAGGCUUCUUUUUCUAUCCUCUAAAGGAAACUAGACAACAAGUUACUGAAGACACCUUAUUUAGACAACACAAUUUAUGAAAAAACAUGAGCUGUUCAUUGAAACGUACAACUGUACAUGUGAAAAAUCAUGCAUAUGUUGUUGGAUCAGCAAAGUAAUAUCUAGCAAUGGGGUUAUUUGUGAAACAAAAAAAGUCCCAUGCUAACCCAUCAAGACUGUAAUUAACUUCUAUUCAUUUUAACCACAAUAACAAUAUCAUAGUAGGUUUGGUACAUGCAUGGACUAGACCAAUCCAAACUUAAACCCAUCAGAAAUUUUCAAGGGGCUUGAAAUGAGCUUUUAUGAGCAUGGUUCAGAGUGCGGUAGGGAUCCUCUAACUUCACUUAAAUGUUAAGACUCGAAUGAGAAGUACAUCCCAGUUACAUUGACAAACACCCAGUCAAAUGCAACCAAGAUUGAUAUUUUUUAUCCAUAAUUGGUUGGAUGAUGUUGAGAUGGUAGUUUGACCAAGUAAAAGGGUUGGUUGCUGAUGGAAAGAGCAAUUUUAGUUUAGAACCAGUCAAGGUGGUGGGUUCUGACUGUAUAAUAAAUCAGGUGAGUAAAAAGCAAUUUUCAAUAAGAAUAUGGAUUUAUCUCAUGCUCCUGUUUUGAAUAAACAGACCUGGUGUAUAUAAUAGCUGAUAUCCAAUAGCUUUAGCAUUGUUAUGACGAAAUCAACCCCUUAGGUGGAAACUGUCACGGCUUAAUUAGUCCCACACAGAGUAUGGAUGGUGGGAUGGGCAUUGGGUUGAUCUAAAAUCCUUAAUAGGCUUACAGCUACUAACUUGGGGAUAUAUAUUUUGGCCACCUGAUUUAGGACAUGUACAUCCAGGUUAUUAGUCAUAUGUACCUAUCAACAUAGCCUCUUAACUUUAGCCUCCAUAAACCUUAUCCCUAAUCUGGCAAAAAGAUCAACGUGCACCCUCCCAACCCCUGAAAAUCUAAUAUCUGCCAGUGAGCUUUCCAUCUCCGGCUCCUCCAUGAUGCAUGCUUUACCUCAACUUACUAGUUUUCCCAGGUAGCCUUCAUCCCUACCCCUCCCUGUCAUGUUCUCUGUCUCUUUAUUCUCACUCCCAUCCACUUCCCCUCAAUGAAACCAAUACUAGAGUCCGAGGCAUGUCAAUAUAUAUCCAUGGACAGCAUAUGACAAAAUCUAUUAUAACUUUUGCCUCAUUCCAUUGACAAAUUAAAGCUAGUUUUUUUUUAAAAUAAAUAUGGGAUAUCUGUGGGGCAGAAAUUUGGUGCUACGAAUUAUUACAACUAAAUUUGCACUGGUCAGAUAUAAUUAUGAUGCAUAAGGAACAAUUAAUCUAGAUAGACCAAACCGAGAUACAACCUCCGCCUGAAAUUCAUUUGGGUUGGAUUCAGGGCAAACACACCAGAUCAGGUCAUGGGAAACAUUGUAAAACCCGACUUAGGGUUAAGAAAUAUAACCCAACCAAAUAUGCCCAAAUAGUAAUUCCAAUGUCAAAUAAUCAACAAUGAUAAUGCUGAAGCAACGUGUAUCUGUACCUGUUGACAAGGCCAACACCAAAGAGUGCCUUCACUGUCGCAGAUGCUUCACUGAAUAGUAUUAACGAGAAGAUACACAUGUUUAGAUCACGAAAAUCAAAUUACAUGAUUACACAAAACUUAAAUUACUAUACAAAAAAGAAAAACAAACUACAAUGGCAAACAACAAAAGAGCCUAAAAUGUUGAUUGACUGAGAAUACCUGGCAGAAUUCUGAGAGCUUCAUCAACACAAGAUUUUUUAAAAAAAAUACAAAUUCCAUGAGGCAGUUGCAGGUUAAUGACCACGUUCCUAGUGUUAAAAAGUUUUCCACAAUACUAUGCAACAUGAUUCAUUGUGAAAUGCAAUGCAUGAAAUGUGAGUGGCUGCAAGCAUAGCAAAAGGGCACACGCCGAUGCACAAAUAAUUUCCUGCAGUCUUCCAGAGUGAGACACAGGAUGCAGUGUAGUUUGCACCAUCAUGAUCACAAAUGAACUCACUAACUUCAGUAAGCAUGUGCCAGCAUGGCAUGUUGCUUACAUUGCCAACCCAUUGACAGUAGCAUGGCAUGUUGCUUUCACUGCCAACCCAUUACCAGUAGCAUGCCAUGUAAUGGCUCAAUCAAAUCAACAGAACUAAAAACACUGCCAAUGGAUUAGGAUCGGCAUAAGGUCUUUCUAAAUUUCCUUAUCUCUUCGCUGAAUUAGUUCAAGAAGAAACUGACAUCUAGAGAAGAGUAGGUGCUAGCAGCUUUAGUUAUGCUAAAAAAACUAGCCAAUAUUUUGUCUUAUAGAGUUUUGACAAAUUAAGAAUGAGAGUUUAAAUACCCAAGAAAACAAGAUCAAACAGAGAUGACAGUUACCAAAGGACUAAAACUUCAAAAAAGAAGAGAUUAGGAUUUUCCACGAAGGACUAAAAGCUUUAACACAGAGAUACUAGUCAUCAGAGGACUAUUCUAGUAGAAACAUUCUGUUCAAAGUGCCUUAGAUUGAUUACUCAAGGAUGGGACAACAGGUGCUUGCAUACUACUGUAGCCAGCUAAUGUCGUGGCAUCGAAAAGACAGUUACCAAAGGACUAAAACUUCAAAAAAGAAGAGAUUAGGAUUUUCCACGAAGGACUAAAAGCUUUAACACAGAGAUACUAGUCAUCAGAGGACUAUUCUAGUAGAAACAUUCUGUUCAAAGUGCCUUAGAUUGAUUACUCAAGGAUGGGACAACAGGUGCUUGCAUACUACUGUAGCCAGCUAAUGUCGUGGCAUCGAAAAGACUACUAUUGUAGCAGCAAGUUGUCUAUUAUCAUUUUUAGUGUCAUAUAGUUUAUUGCACAAAUACAAGGAAAUACAAGGGCCACUAUGAAUAAAGAGUGAUCAAACAAAGAAAACAAAGAAUAUUCUAAAAAGGAAGAGAAUGAAUAAGAUGAAUAAAAAAACAUGGUCUUGACUAAUAAGCAAAUAACACAAUUUUAAUGUAAGUGCAGAUAUCAUACAAGGCAAUUCAAUUAUAGCAUAGGAUAACUAUAGGUAGCAUCUACAUAAGACAACAGUCUUAAGUCAUGUGUUUCCUAAUUUUUUAUAUUAAUUGAUGAAAUUUUGUCCUUUCUGUAGUGGUUACAUUAAAGAGUAUCUAGUCUUAUUUGGAAUUGUAUUUCUUACUAGGGUCAUAUUUAAGGUAUUAAUUAGAUUAUGAUGCCAAGAAUUGUGUCAUGAGUUUCUGGCAACAUCAGUAUUGUUUGCUGGAUGAGUCAGGAGAGCCAACCACAAGACAAAGAAAUAGGAGGAAAGAAAAGAAAUGGCUGAUGCCUAAACCCCCCUUCUCCUCUAGGUUAGCCUUUCACUAGUAGGAGCAGAACUUUGUAGGAACUUGGUAUCUUUAAUAUUUAUGAACUACAAAAAAGUUGUGCAUGUAGACAGAUGUGGUCUACACAAGCCUUGAAUCAUCCAUUUUGCCUCAUGUGGGGUAAGUCCAACAAAUAAAUGGUGAUUUACAAUUUACUAAAGGGUUAUAUUCAGCCUCUUGUAUGCUGAUAGUAGCGAUUCUUCUCUAUCAGUGAAAAGGCACCUUUUUCUUUCUCAUUUUUGGUCCACUCUCUACCUCUCUCCUUUGUCUGAAUAUAAAAAAUGAUUUAUUUGUUUUACAUUAAUUUCCUAGAAGUGAUCCUUGUAAUCAACCAUUUAUUGUCUAUUGUAAGAAUGGAGCUUGAUCUUGAAUUCAUUAAUAUUUUCUAGCAAACAAAAACCUAGCAGUGAUUCUAAAGGUUCAAGAAGCAAUAGAUUUUCUUCCAAAAGAGUAAGACAACCAUUUCAUCAUUGUUGAAUAUCAUAUACUAGGAAUGCAUCAGAUUUACAUGGUCCUGGAAUUAUUAGUUCCAAAUAGAGAACUUUUAUGAUAUCCGAUAAACAACAUAUAAAGGAAAAUCAAAAUAAAUAACGCAAGCUACUUGCUAGAAUUGAACUACUACUAAGAGGCCAAGAACCAAAUGAAAGAAAGCACCUGGAAUCUGAUGAUCUAAGAGAUUGAGAAAGUGUGUACAUAAGCUGGGUCCAACAUUCUUCAGCAUCCUGCAAUAAGGAACAGAACAACAUUUUCCAACAUUCAUCAUGAAGGAGAUGCAAACAAAAUACAAGAAAACAUAUAAAAACAUAAAACUGAAAAUAAAAACCUGCUGCAUGUAACCACCGUUAUGCUGCUGGGCAAACUGAGGAUACUUUUUACGUAAAAUCUGUUCCCAAAAGAUAUAACAAUGAAAUUAAUGUCUUAGUGAAACAAUAUAAUAAAAUAUCUCCAUUAUUUUCUACAUAAUCUGCAAGGAAAAGAUAAUAUCAAAUCAGUAAUUUCAAUAGGCGCUCGAGCGAGGCGAGGCGAAGCCCGAGCGCCUUGCUUCAUUUUCAAGCGACGCGCUUCAAAGAGGUGCUGCUUAGGCGCUCGCCCGAGCCCAGUCGUCGGGCGCUUCGAGCGAGCGCCUGGGUUAAACCAAGCGACCGAACCAACGUUUUAGGUCUGGUUCGAUCUCCGGUGCUUUAGUUGGUUCAAUCGAACCAACUAAAGCACCGAUAUUAGCGCGACUUCCCAAACCCUAACCCUGCUCACCGUUCACGAUGCCGCUCCCGCUACUCAUUGUUGCCACUGCCACUGUCGCCGCUCUCACCGUCGCUGCCGUUGCUCGCUGCUACCGCCGCCACUAUCGUCGUUCCCGCUCCCGCUGUUGCUGCUCGCUGCUACCGUUGCCAGUGUCUCCGCUCGUCGCUCCCGCUGCUCGCUGCUAUCGUUGCCAUUGUCGCUGCUACCGCUGCCACUGUCGCCACUCCCGCUGCCACUGUCGCUGCUUACCGCUAUCGCUGCAACUGUCGUCGCUCCCGCUCCCGUUGCUCGCUGCUACCACUCCCGUUGCCACUGUCAUCGCUCGCCGCUCCUGCUCCCAUUGUCGCUUCUCGCUGCUACCGCUGCCACUGCCACUAUCAUCGCUCACCUCUCCCGCUCCCACUAUCGUUGCUCACUGCUUCCUCUUCUCACAUCGACUCGAUAGUAUACUAUUAACAGUAUAUUAACAGUAUACCAUUAACUAUAUACUAAUAACAAUAUUUUUUUAUUUAUUAGAUUAAUAAUAUAUUAUUUUGAUUUUAAUACUGUUAAUUUUUAUUUAUUCAAAAUUAUUGUUAUUGUUUUGAAUUUUGAGAUUUUUUUGUUAAUGUGAUAUUGUGAUUUUGUAAGAUUUUUAAAAUUUAAUAUCAUAUUUUUAUUUAAAUAAUUAUAUUUAUUAAUUAUAUUAUAUAUUUUUAUAUUUUAACACCUCGUUUCGCUCGCGUGACCGCCUAGCGCCUCGGGCGUUUUUGGACCUUGGCGCCUUUCGGCGCCUAGCGUUUUUUAAAUCACUUUAUCAAAUUCAGAUGAUGAGACAUCUCCAAGCAAAAGAAUAAUUAUAAAUGUUCUGUUAAGCCUAUGUUAUGACCAUAUUUCUAUCUUGGUUGAGAACAUACAAGGAUUUAAUGCACCAUAGUUGCCACAUAGUGAUAGCCUACAAAAUGGGUGAAAACCCAGGUCAAUCACAAAAGCAAGUCAUUUAAUCCCUUCUAAUCAGAUACUAAUGACAGUUUCUACUAUGCUUUAAAUCAUUUCAAUCUACAUUGACUCUUAUAGUAGUAAAAUUGACUUUAGAAAGCAGUCAAAAGAUAUACUUAAGCUAUCAAAAGCAAUUAAACUCAAAUUUAAAAAAUAAUCCAAGUACGCAUAUCGACAUUAUGACAAAAGCCAACCUACAUAUAUGGAUUUGUGUAUUACAUAGACAUAUAUUUGACAUUUUCAUAAAUGAAUUCAGUUAUUCAAACAUACAAAUGGACUUUUUUUUCUAUCGUGCAACUUGCACCCUAGGACAUCCCUCAAGAGAUGUUUUUAUCAACUUGAUACAACAUCAGAACCGUUAAUGUAAAUAUCAAGGAUCACGACGUUCUUUAUCCAUAGCAUAUCUGUGCAUAAUUUCAUCAGAACCACAAAGAAACUCGCAAGUUCUUGAUUGUCAUUUUAUAUCACUUUAUUGUAUCUUUCUUCUUCCUUCAAUCAUAUCCUUCAUCUAUUCAUUGUGCAGAUCCUCUCAAGUAUAAUGUGAAUCCAUUUUAUCCAACAAUUCAUGUCAAUCGGUGAUAAGAAGACUUGACGACUAGUAACUACAUGUAUGUAUGUGUAUAUGUGUAUGUGUGUGUGUGUAUAUAUAUAUAUAUAUAUAUAUCCCAUUUUCAGCUAACCUGCUCACCACCUGCCUUGUGAUUGGAGAUAGCAAUGAUUCAGAGGUUGGCUUUGCAUGGAUCCAUUUGCUACCUUCCAAUGGGUGAGGCAGGCAAGCCCAAAAUGGGGCUCCUCUUUGGUACACCAGCCCCACAGAAGAAAGUGUCGCCCAGUUGCCUCAGAAAUAAUAGGAGAUAGAGGCUUUCCUUUCCUGUUAAACCACAACCAAUGACGUUUGCUUUGUUGACCAUACAUAAAUGGAAGUCUCACCUCUUCUGAUAUCAUCUCAAAAGGUUAAGAAUUCAGACAUAGUUUGCAAAAUUACUUACAUUCUUAUUUAAUUUAAUCAGGCUAAUUUCAGUCGAUAUAACAUGAGAUGACUAAUCCAUGGUGAUUAUAUUUGAGCUACUAUAAAUAUUUUUUUUUCAAUGCAGAUUGAUAUUCUAUGAAUAGUCAGUCAUUUUACUGUAGGUUUGUACCUUUAAUCCAACAUGCUCAUCCUACAGUUUUGUUGGUUUAUAAAAACAUCUCUCAAGCAUCAAUUAGAUGUGUGCAUCUUUUUUUUGUUUAUAUAUGGAUGAGAACACAUCAACUAAAAACCUGGUCAUAAAUUAUUAUUUUAAAAAUGUGAAAGUUCUAUAUCCCCCCCCCCCCAACAGGGACUACCAGUAAACAGAACUCUUUAGCACCUUAUUAAUCUACCUUUCUAUAAGCAAGUCUUAUCAGGCAAUUGACAAUUAAACCAAUAUAUAACUAACACAGCUAGCUAACAGAACAAGCAAACAACCAUAUUUUAAAAUUCACAGGUAACUGCAAAGAAUCCAUAAGGUGAAAAGAAGAAUGUUAGCCAAACAAAGCCAACUCCAAUAAUAUAAUGAUCAAUCUCAAGAACUUCAAGAGGUUUAGAGAACCAACCGACAAAAACUGUAAUGGUGCAACAGGCCUCACAUUCCUAUCGAGUUCGCCAAAAAGAUCUCGAGUUGCGACGGUCAGAAGGUGUGAGUACUGAUCUAGCUCAUUAUUUCUUCCUGAGUUGGUGUAACUGCUUGUGAACAACAAAUUCAAGAACAUGUUACACUUGUCAUGUGGGAAACCAUUAGAAUGCACCGACUAGCGCCUACAAAUUAUUCAUAUAAAUCAGAAUAAGGAUUCAAUCACAUUCACCUCAACAGCGCUGACUUCAACUCCGGAACCGAAUGAAGACAUUGCAAUGUAGAGUUCAUGUAACACGUGUUUCCCAAAUUAUAUAGACCAGCACUGUGACCCUGUUGGUAUAUAGAUCAGCCACUAUUUCAAAUGUUAAUAAACAUGGUAAGAGAACCCAACAGCUACUGUAUGAUGUUCUCAUAAUCAUAAAAUGAUUAUCCCAAAAUCUAGAAAAAAUAUUUGAGGAAUAUACCUACCUUUCCACUUCAAUAAACAUUGCAGGCAAAAGACAUGGAAAAGAAUAACUAGCAUCUUGGGCUUUUAGAAAACACUGAACAUCCACAAGAAUUGACACUUUUCAUUUGUCAAAGUGCCAUCACAGGGUCUAAUAUAGUCGGUUGUUUAAGAAACAUAACUAGUGAAUUCAACAUUACAUAAACAACAAUGAGUGCUAGUCACUGAUCUACAUGGCAUGGAAUAUGCAUUGUAUUGUCUGUACUAAUCUCUUGUCAGUCACAUGUCAUAACUGAUAUCCUAGGUACCAUUGGCACAGUAGACACACGAAGCAAAGAGAAUUUAAUGCUCUGUUUGGAUAAUAAUUUAUGGAGAGAAGAGAAGUAAAGAGAAAGGGGAGGGAAGGAUAAACAUAGAAAGAAGCAUACUUUCUGUUCCUCUGUUUAGAUUUAGGGAAUAGAAGGGAAAACAGGGAAAAUGAUCCUUAGCGAUUCACUUGUCGCUACUUCCUUCCAGAUCUCAGAUUUUCGAAAAAAAGCUAAAAAGGCUCCUACUUAUUUCAACCAAAAUCAGGAUAAUCCACUUCUCACCAAUUUUGUUCUCUCCUCUCCAACGCUCUUUAUUCAAAUAGGCCCUAAAUCCAAAGUCCCCAAAAAACCACAAUUGCCUUACAUGUAAAGUCCAUUACUAACUUCUGAAAUUUUGAAAUCUGACCUAUUGAAAGUCAAAUCAAUGUUAAUCCAACAUUACACACACACACACACCUUCUUGUCCAUAGUUGGUAUCAAAAUACCAACCUUCUUGUCCAUAGUUUUACAUACUUACGGUUCACAAUUAUCCAAUCAGAUGGCUGAUUCAGAUCUGGGUCUGAAUUGAUUGGUUAGUCAGCUUCAACUCAGAUUGGUUAGUCAGCUUCAACUCAUACCUAACAAAUCUAACCAAAAUCCUGACGAAUCCAACCCCUUAUGGCAGUUCCAGAUAUUUCCCAUAUAUUACAUGUAUAAGCAUCAUGCAAGUUUAUGUCAAUUUUGGAACUCUAAAAACCCCACACAAUUCCUAAUGCAUCAUAGCAAACUGCACGAUCUUUAUAAUUAUAAAUGAUAAGAUAAAGCCUCACCACAGCUACUACUUGUUCUUCUUCUGGCAAAUCCUCCAUAAAUACGGGACCUUUCUCUGGAGCUUUCACUAUCUCAUCAGCUGUGCCCAUCAUCAUCAACUUUUGCCCCUGUUGAAUAAUUACAAACUUCAUAUAUUGUAUUCAUAAGAUAUAAAAAGAUCAUCAGAAGUAAAGAAAAGAACACCUCUUUGACACCUAGAGUUGCCCAAUCUGCAUCAUCCUACAUGAAAGAAAAGUAGUCUUUACGAAUUCAGAACUCUAACUCCAAGAUAAAAUUCUUAAAAAGUUGCAUGACAAGCACAAAAAGGAUAAUAAAUCUUCAUAAAAUGGAAGUUCAUAUACCUUCAAAAGACCACCCUUGACCAUAAUUUUUUGCCGCUCAGGAGGUACACCAGUCAAAGCAUACAAUUGACAUUUAAAUACAAGAGGAGGUUGGCUGGUGUCGAUUUCCACAGAUGGAAAGACUUCUUUUUGCCAUUUGACACUAACUGUAUCACAAAAAGCAUCAUAAAUACUCCACAAUACACUAUCACAAAUUGUAUUAGGAAACAAUUAAAUUAGUUGGCAUUAAAUUGUAAAUCAGAAAAAAGAGAACAUUUCAAUUAGAAAUGACAUAUAAUUUGUACCACAGGAAUUAAAGGACCAAUAUAACCAUUCAUAUGACAACAUAACCAACAAAGACACAAGAUGGUCAGUACUUUAUUCUUUUUUUUACUUGGAAGACCAAAAAGGAGCGUUCUUAGUGAUGACAGUAAACACAAUUACUCCACAAAAGAAAUUUAUAAUUAUGACAGAUACUGAUGAGCUGAGAACCUGGUGAUACAAGAUAAAAGAAUCACUCUUAAAUGUCCUACUCACAGUAGGCAAAGAAAUUUCCUUGAAACUAAUUGAUGACCCAUGCCAUAAACAAGUUGUUUUUCAGUUUUUAUCAUAUUCUGAAGAUAACACGUUUUUAGGGAGGAUGUAAUUAUUUUAAAGGUUUAAAAUACAAAAGGAUCUUUUGGCAAGACAACAAGGAAAUGCAACACCUUUAGAAAGGUCGCAGCAUGCUUCAACAAAUGGCUAAAUAUCAGUAUAGAACAAAACGCGUAGGGAAAUUGGGAUACGAACAGUUUGCACAUCAAUGACUUUGAUACAUAUUAUACAUUAUGGUGAUAUAUUACAAACGCAUGCCACCUCUUCACAAUCUAUAUCACUAUAUCUUUGGUACAGCAAACCACAUACCAUCUGAGCUGAUCAAAAUUACAAGACUUUUGAUGGUUAAAACCACAUAAACUUAUUCUCGUUCAUUUCACUUACGAUAAGCAUGCAAAACCGAAGCUAAAACGGGUGAAAAGUAUAACAUUAUUUCACCUAAUCCAUAUCCAAGCACGAUCCGGAAAUUAUCAACUUUUUGGGUGGCAAGACACGACAAAUACAUUAUAUAUAUAUAUAUAAAUAUAAAUAUAUUUAUUUAUUUAUUUAUUUUCUCGAUUCGAGACCACGUUAAGCUCCAAGAAAAACCAUGGUUAAAGCAACCGAAUGAAAAGAAACAAUACUAAAACCUAACUCUGGCAGGACAUUCGUCAAAGAAGGAAAAAUCAACACAGGCAACGAACAAAUUGAGCAAUGAACUAAGCUUUUACGAAAUCUCAUCGUCGUUCAUGGAGAUCGAAUCACUUGACAAUCUCCGGUGACAAAUCGGGAGUAAAGCGGUUUGAGGCAGGCAAUUAUUCCUACCAGUCGGCAUGCUCGACGAAUCGCAACUGCUGUCCUCGAAUCGCGGGGCGGCGGCGGUGGAGGAGGAGAAGGAGGAAAGGUAAUGGGAGAGAGAGGAGAGGAGGGUUUUCUUGGGCGAGAGAGGAGAGACCAAAAGAGUAGGGAGUCGGCGAUCGAGAGAAGAAACGAGUCGGGCGCUCCCCCAACAUCGAUCGACAUAUAAAGAGGUGCGCGGCGACGGGGUACCACGGUGUGGGUCGCGCACGGAACGCUACGAUGUGCCGUCCCACCCUGGUCGCGUUCUUUCCAUCCGCACCGUUGAUUCUUCCCCUUUACUCCGAUCGUGCGGUGCAUAUGAGUUCAUUCUUUGGACCUUUCGGUUCUUCAGAUUGACUCAGGGUCGGACCGCACCCGAAUUGGUCGGACACGGCAAGGAAAACGGUGGAACUGACCGUGAUGUGUGAUUCGCGAAAAGUUUGGGAAUCGGGUUGAUUACGUCCAUUCACCAAAAAUUAGUAGUUCCCUAUAAAGUUAAUGCAAAAGGUUAAAACGAGUUUUAAGUAAAUUGUAAAGCUAUAAAGAGGGGGGAAAAAAUCUAAAACAUAAAUUAAAAUGAAAGGAAAUAAGUCACAUCAUAUGGUGACUCUUUAAGUCCUUGUGAUGUUACAAUCUCCAUUUGUGGCAUGAUCGUACCAUACGAUUUAUGCUUCUCCAUUCAUCACAGCAUGUUUGUGCAGAUUUAGCAUUUCCGAUUUCAUGCCAACACAACAGUGACUUUUCCUUCCACCAUCCUCGGUAUUCACGGGCUCUUCCAGAGUUGAAGUUCAAUGAUUCAUGUAAUGUAGAAUGUUGUCAGGAGAAAGCUUGCUGGUUCAGCGGCAGCCUCAGCAACAGAUCUUCUUUCUGUUGUAAAGUGUGUACAUUUCGCUUCACCAACAGAUCUUCUUUCUGUUUGUUACAUUGUAAGAAUAAUAUCACAGGUGCAGCGAUGCAAAUGCUAGACAUUUUACUGUGCUUUCAGAUUCAAAAGUCGGAACAUCACACAGUUUCUUAAUCCAUCUAAUGAUGGUCUUUCUUACAUGAUAUCUGUCGAAUUGAAAAAUUAUCAUCCUGUGAGGUGAUGAUUUACAUCAACUGAUUCACUUAGCCACUGUCAUGAGCAGAGAAUAACAGCCAAAGGCAGGACUAUCAUCCUUACAAAAUUGCUUUGCGGAGAUCGUUAUCACUUACAUGUAUUCAGAUGAUUCAAGUUGACCGGAAAACCAUCACCUUGACCAAAAAAUAUAUUAGAUGAGGAAAUUCCUAAACGCGGAAAUCACUCUAGGUGACAGCAAUAGCACAAAUGCAAAGAUUGACCCGAAAAACAAGUUGAUGGCAUAUUGAACAAGAUCUGUCUCGGUCUCGGGCUCUGAGGAUGUUCUCUUUGCAUUUGAUACAGAUGCAGAUGGGAGGGCUUCUAUAACGGCAUCUGCAAGAUCUGAGAUGAAGGAAGAAGUGCAACCCAGAGCUGGUACCCUACCCCAGUUCUCAAUGCCCGACUGCAGAGCCAAGUGCUUGUACUCCAUAUCAAUCUCUUCCAGAGUUUCAAUAUGUUCACUCACAAAGCUGGGAGAUGAUGGCACAGGAAAAAUCCAAAUUGUGGUCAGUGAAAAACACAAAAAUCAAGUGCAUGCCAGUUAAACAUCCUUCACCAAUAUAGACAUAAAAUCAUGUACGACAACUUAGCACAUGAAUUCCUCCUGGCAACCCAAGUAUAGAUGGGAUAGAAUAGGCUUGAUCUCCAAAGAUGGCAAUGGAGAACUAGUUUGAGCAAGAGCAUGGACCCUCAAGCUUUGCUUCUUGUUGAGGCAGGAGUUUAUGAUGAUUUAAAAAGGUCAUCCAGGAAAAUGAAGCAACUGCUCAACAAUUCCUUAAUCAAUAUAGACAUAAAAUCAUGAACCAAAAGAAGCUUCUUGUUUAUUCUAGCAAGAUAAACAAUAUAAGUUGUUUUAGCAUAUGAAAGUGUCCCAAAUUAUUUAAUAUAUAAAUAUUCAACAUAUUCUUAAGUGUAUAAUUUAGCAUAUGUGUACCAUGGGGCAGGUCAUAAAAGCCAAAGUUUGCCACCAGAAACGUACCAUUAUGCAAUGCUGUAAUAAUGGGCUGUUACUAGGAAUCCACUAACAACAUGAAUUGCUGCUAAAACACUGAUUGAAUUCAGCUCAAUCUGAAAAGGAUUCGCAGGCUGAUGGUCAACAAAUUGACAAGUUACCUUACAGGGACUGCGAGAAGGCUCUUUACACCUUUCUGACCAAGCUCGACAAUCACUUCAUCAGUAUAAGGCUUUAACCACUGAACAGGCCCAACUCGGCUCUGCAAGGAGUUCAAGAAAAUGAUAAACUCUUCUGGAAACUACAGGAUCAAGCAAUGCGAGUCAAUGAAACAGAAGGAUUUAUAUAAAGAACAUGGAGAUUUUAGUAAAAGAUGCACAAUAAAUUUGGAGCAUUUGUAAAACCCUGUACCUGAUAAGCAAGAGUGUGCUGGUUAACAAUUCCUCUAUAUUUCAACUCAGCCAUGAUCAAGGAGAUACACUCCUCCAUCUGAUCUUUGUAUGGAUCUCCUGCAUCCUGAACAUAGCUAAGUGGAACUCCAUGUGCGCUAAAGAAUAUCAUAACCUACCAUCAUAAGCAAAGGGAAACAGAAGAUUUAAAUGAGAACAUGAGACAUGUCCAACACAAAAGUAUCAAGAAAAAUAGCUUAGCUUCUCUGGUAACUAAACCAAUUAUAAUGAAUAUGGAGCAAAGGAACAUCAAUUACUGCAGUGCACUAAUCCUUAAAGCAAAAAAACUGUAUCUUCUAAAAUCCAUUUAGGUAAAGCUUAAAUUUUAGCCAUCUUGUCACAAACUUUGUGACCUAGUAAUUAGCUUGACUUAUUUUUCCAACUAUCCCCGAAUGAAUAUGUAGGUUAUUGUAUCCAUUGUAAAAAUCAUUUGACGGCAACAGCAGUCCCUAAUUCUAAUAUGACCUUUAUGCCUAGUUUUGGAUCCACAAAUUGUGUUUCUUCUCCGAGUGUCUCAUCAAGUUAACUUUGUCUCAUCAUGCCAAAGGCUUGCCAAAAGCAUGUUUGGUGGACUUUAUUAUCAAUGCCAACUAGAAGAAAUAAGAAAUGGAAAAAGAGAAGGGCACAGACACCACCAUGGCACCAUGCCAUCAUCCUUAGGUCUCGCUUACAACCCCCACCCCCCGCCCAAAAAAAAAAAGGGUUUGUUGGUUUAACAAGCAAAUUCCAUUGCUCUACAUCUCGACUCCAUUAGUUAUGCAGCUUAGCAAGAUGCAACCAUACAAAUUCUAAGCAAACUGGAACAAAGAUGCGGUGGUAGACAUGACACAUGACACUACAAGGGAAAUCACCAUACCAUGUGGAAUAAUUAACAGUAGAGAAAAGCACUUUAACAUAAAUCAUACAAUUAAUAGUAAAUAGAAAUUACCUCCUCAGGCUUAGAAAAACUUAGUAGCUCAUUUUCUAUCAAAUCAGCCAUUGAUUUGAUGUAACCUUCACGUUGAUACCAUGACUCGAUAAUAGAAAUUGGCAAGCUUGCAAAAUAAGCAUCUUCCCUGCAAUGUGAUUAAUAUCCAGUAAGCUUUAUUAAAAAAUAAUUAAUCGCAAAUUAGUUGAGAAUUCAGAGGUUUCAUAGAAAAGAAAGAGAAAUUACUAACUACCUGAUAAUACUCUGUAGAACACGGAUACUAGAACCACUAGUGGAUAUAGAGAAUUGAGGAUAAAGUGGCAGCACAACAAGCUUUGUUAUUUUAUCCUUCUUUAUCUGUAAUUAUAUGGAUAAGUAGUCAGUGUAGCCACGUAAGUCAAGAGUACACAAACUAAACAAGCACAUUUCAAGCAAGUAGCACUCCACAUUCUCCAAAUAGCAUUUCGGUUCUUCUAAUUGUACAAAUAAAAUAUAUGCAGAUUGAGGACAAAUCAAGCUGUUAUUAUUUCUAGUAUAGUAGUUUGCAUAAUGUUAUAAUUUAUUUGCUGUUAAUAUUUCUAGUAUAGUAAUUUGCAGACUGUUAUAGUUCAUUUGUCUCUAAGCCACUGAAGCUCUGCAAAGUGUGUGAAAUUUGACAAAAAAAUGGAGAAACAAGAAGCAGUUUGGUUUGACUAUAAAAAUUACAAGGAUGCAUAGCUGCAGGUUUGAACAACUACUGCAUCAAAGAAAGCAACUACAAAAUAAUAAGAGGUACAGCAGACAGCUACAGAUUGAAGGCAUGUUAUAUUAAGCACUGAGCAAGUUGUUGCUGGGUAGCAGUAAAGUGUAAUUACAAACCUGAUGAAGAGCCUCCUCAGUGAAAGGGUGCCAGUACCGCAUACCAACAUAUACAUUGGCAUGCAAAUCCUUGUCUUUGAGGGCCAGUUUCAGUGCUUGUGCCUGAAAUUUUUUUUCAUUGAGUCAGCUUGUCAGCAGCAGCUUUUUUCCAAAUGAAACAUGAGAAGGAAAGACAUAAGAGAGUUUGUUAUUCUCAUUCAAUAAAACCCCACUAAAAUCGUAACUUGGAUAUAUUGAGUAAAUCACUAUGCCACGGUGAGAGUGAAGAAAUAUAUCCCAGGAAAAGAAAAAGGAACACUACUAAAUCAAAUUACAAACCUGUUCAUCAGUUAUCCUCCGUAAUGGUGAUCCACCACCAAUUGCAGCAUAACCCUCCUUACUUUUUGGAGCUCUGACAACUGAUAUUAACUUGGCCAGUGGUCGCUGGAGAAAUCGGAAUAGUCUAGGAAGCCGUAUUAUGUCCUAUUAUGAAGGAGGAAAAGAUAUCUUAAGUAAAACAACUGAAAACUAAAAAAAACUACAAUUAAGAAUAUAUAUGUUUAGUGCACCAUAAAGAAAAUAUUCAUAAAAAUUAUCCCAAGCAUCGAAUAAAUUGGGAAUGACAUGUAUAUACACAUAAUAUGUAUAUAUACAUUAGUAGUAUCACAUGUGUAAUUUGAUAAUUGGACCAUUCGAGAUUAUGUUUGUGUCAGUGCACCAACUAUUGGAUGUUGCCAGCAUUCCCUGCAAUAAAAAAAUUGUCACUUAUAUGUCAAGUAAGAAGACAGUGAAUCUUGGCACCACACUGAGGUUGCUCUUACAAGAAGCUGGUCAAGAUUUUGGAGUGUUGCUGCUUUUUCAACAUUCACACACGUUAUGGAACAAGGCAAACUAAAUGGAUUAAAAAAAUCUUCAUAUACAAGUGCGAAUUGGCAAAUCAAUAGUUUAUUUUCUCACAUUCUUGCUUCAUCAAAAAGCUUAAAUAGAAUAUAUCAAUCUGAUUGUUGCAAUAAACUAGUUAAGAAAGGAACCAAAAGAACAUGUAAACGGGUGGAACAAGACAAGCAUUUCUGUUCAUUGCUCAUAUAUCAAAAUAUGACGAACUUACUGGAUCAGCAAAUAAAUUGAACAGGAAUGGUUGAACAUCAUUCAGGGUCUCUGGACCUCCAAGGUUCAACAGUAGUAUGCCAACCCUUUCAUGUGCAUGACUUGAAGAAAUGCUGAGAAAAUUUGUAUCAUGCGUGCAUGCCUCUGCAGAACAAUUAAGCCUCCCAAGAUUAUGCUUUUUGACUGGCAUAUGUAUAGAUUUGGCAAAAUUCCCCUUGCUAACAUCAGAUGUAGGAUUAGAAAGCACCGAUAAACUCAGUGAUUCAUCAGUUCCUUGAGGGCCAUUAUGCGAGGAAUGGGAGGAGCAUUUGACAUAGCAUACCGAGGUACCUCCCUUGUGCCUUGAUCUGAAAUAGAAUUGGCUUUGAGCUCUACCAUAUGCAAGAAUGCAUCGAGAUAUGUAAUUGAUGAACAUGUGAUCCGUCAACUUCAGUUACAAAUUGAUCGAUUACAGAUCUAAAACAAAAACUUCAUUUUGACGUUGGGUUCAUCCUCAGAUCAUCUGUCAAAUAACAAAAGAAAAUGGAAAAACAACACUCACGAAUACAGAGAGCCGAUACUUCUCCGACUCCUAAAAUCAAGGAGUUUGGUCUGAGAAACAGCAGAAUUCGCAGCUUCCAUGCUCUCAGAAAAGCAAUCCGGUGUUCCGAUCCUAGAGGAGAAAUUUUGAGAACAAAAUUAGAAUCCAAAAGCAUGGAUGAUCGACCAUAUCAGAAAACAGGCAAGUAAACUUAUGGCAGGUUCUCAUCAAAAAAUCACAUCUAAGAUGAACAGAUCAAGAUCAUGUCUAAUCGUCAAGCGUGGAAUCGACUCGCAGAGUCUUGUCUCCCGUCAAGGCAUUCCUCAGCAGAUUGUAAAACAUAUAUUCAUUAACUUGUAUUACAAACAAAUAGAGUCCGACACAUGAUACACGGCAAUUUUAUGGCUACAACACAAUGGUUAGUCGCCAAGACUGGCUUAUGUAUCGUAAAUCGGACUGUUGCACACCCACCCUAAACAAAGGGAUCGAACAAGAACGAGCUCGAGGCAAAAGACACCAAAAGUCGAUGCGGCUCAAGAAGAAACGGAGAUCGAAGAAGACGCACCUUGUAGUCAGAGCCAAUGGUUCAAGAUCUCCAAGAAUCACGGAAUAGAAGAGUUGGAUCGACUCUUCUUGUGGGGUUAGGGCUGAUCGUCGAAGAAGAAGGAAAAGCAAUGGGGAGCAGAAGGAGGCGGCGACGGGGGCAGCGAGACGAGAAAGGAAAGGAAACGGCAGAAGCGCCGUUGGGUGCUUACUUCCUUCCGGUCAAAUAUGGCGGACGAAGACUCGCUCCCUCGCUCGUCCCUGUGUUGCCCACCUAACGACGACGAUCCAAACCCAAAGGACGUCACGCGGAAGAAAAAGCAUCUCUUCAUCUACCCCUCUCCGAUUACCCGCAUACCCAAGCUUCACUGAAGUAGCGUGGGGCCCAAGAGAAAGCUACGGUGAAAGCCGCCGAUCCUCCGAUCACGACGCAGGUCAUUGUUGUUCGGGGACUGAUCGACGUAUUCGUGGUGUGAUGGAACCUCCGGUUCGUUCCUCGCUUGCUGAUGAGUAUUUGCGUCAAAACAGCGAACAGCGUAGCGAGGAUUUUAACCGGAGGGCUCCCUGGGGGCCCACCUAUCUCAACGUGUCCCGGGACCCAUCCAAACACGCGUCAUCGCCUAACUCCUCUCGACGAACGACCAAUGAAACGAGUACACCUUUCGCCUACUUGCCUGCGUGACUUAGAAUUGUACGAUCCAUGUGGGUCCCACUUUACGGCUUAGUCCACCAUCCAAUAGCAACGUAGGUGGGGGACACGAGUACGACAAAUAAAUUAGGUUACCGAUUCUUCACCCGCAUACACGUAUACAUAAAUAAAUAUCCACUACGCCGUAGAUUAGCCGUCCAAGUGUCCAAGGGAUCAGAUGUUAUAUAUGUAUAUUUAUUUUUUAUUAUGUUAUAAUAUGAUAUGAAUAUAUAAUAUAUUAUAUUAGACUUCGAACACGAUGAGAUCUAAAGAAUAACAUCAUUGAGAAUUUUAGAAAAGACAUAUUAUUUUAUCUCAUGAAUCUCUAUCAAUCUUUGUUCUACGAAGAAAAUAUGAUAAUCAUCCUAAGCAUUAAUUCCUACAAAAACAUAAUAAAUUUUAUCAUCAGCCACCAUCGUCAUCAUAUAUAACUAUCUAGUAAUGACCAUUAUCACUAUUAUAUAUGACCACCAGUGAAAUUGCAAUACCAUCUCAUGUAUUUUCUAAGUUCUUUGACUUCUUCACCUAUCAUUACAAUUUAUUUUCGCUAACAUAACACACCUACAGCCUUAUAUGUUAUUAAUAAGAGAGGUAUGUGUCGUAAUAUUUAAUAAUUCAGAUAAUCAUUUAAGUUCAGAUAAUUUGUUUAAUAUUUUAAUAUUUUUUUAUAAAAAUAAUUAUUUACUAUGUAUCAAUAGAUAUAUAAAUCAAGUAUAAAAAGUUAUAAUACCCUCAUCGAACUCCCGUACAUGUAGUACUUUACAUGUGUUAAUAUAAAAUUUUCAUUCUAACUUAAGAGUGCAGGAACGACUUUGUUAGAUGAAAGCAUGGCUCUAUUAUUGCAACAGGUGAAUGGAGUCUAUUUUUUAUUAUCAACAUCAAUCUGGAUUUAAGUUGAUUUCAUAAUACUCAUUUCACAUGUCAUGCAAUCAGAUAUUAGUCUUAGGGGAUUUUGUCGAGUCAACUUGUCAUCAUCCUAACAUCAUUAUAUCUAGAAAGUAUAGAAGUAUCCUAAGUGACUUCAAAGAAGCUCCAAGGUGAUUCCGAUAUUAGGGUUUAGCUUUUGAAGUGUCACAUAUACUAAGAUCGAUGUCAGAAGAAGUUUCUUGACUCGAUCCCUCCGACGUUUAAGUUAGUCCAAGAUCUUUUUAGGGUAUUAGUUUUUCUCAAAAAGAGAAUCCCUUGGCACAAUACCGAAGAUUAACUUUUAUACUUGGUCUUAAUGUCCUCCUUUGAUGUUUUGCCUACAUGGGCAAUGGGGAGGGGGAGAUGGGCCGAAACGGUCUCCCUUAAACUAUCAUCAAAGGGACAAACAAGUAAAGGAUGGAUAAGACAUUCUCUUUCCAUAUUAGUCUCCACAUAGCAAUAAAUAUAUUAAGCUAUUGUGUGAAUAUAUAUAUAUAUAUAUAUAUAUAUAUAUAUAUAUAUAUAUAUAUAUAUAUAGUACAUGAGUAAUUUUGAAUUUUAGAUUAAACAUGUUGAAAUAAAUUAUUUCUAUAAGAGUUUUUAUAAAUGUAUGUUAGUUUUCUAGUAACUUUAUUAUUCUAGUUAAGUGUCAAAUAAAUAAGUAGCCUAAGAAUACCUAAAUUAUUUAUCGUUGGAUAUUUUAAAAUCUUAUCAUAUAAUUAUUUUCAUUGGUUUGCAUUGUACUAAUAAAAAUUAUUGAUAAUAGGAUGGAAACUGAGGCUAAUGCGAAGUGAAUGUACCUUAAUAAUUAUUUUCAUUGGUUUGCCUUAAUAAUUAACUUAUGAGUAAUAGGUAGAUUUGACCAAUAAUUACAAUUCUACCUUGGGCGAAGUCAAUUUGCCUUCGCGCCUUACUCUCUACCUAGCAAAAAAAAUGAGGCUAAUGCAAACUAUGAGAAGGCUUUACUCGUUCUUAUUUAGUUAUAUCUCGAAAAUAUAUUCAAUUUGGGAAAUAUGGUAAUUGUCUUUCAGAUAUGCUUUAUUGAGAUCAAUAUAAUCAAUACAUAUUCUUUAAUUUUUAUUGGAUUUUUUAACUAAUACAAUAUUAGCAAGCCACUAUAGAUACUGCAUUUCGAUAAUAAACAUUGCCCCUGACAACUUGUUCACUUCAUCACUAAUCGUCUACUAGCAUUUGAGAUUGAACUUACAAGGCUUUUGUCUCUCGGGUCAAACGUCGGGGGAGAUGUUCAAGUGAUGUUAGAUCACGUUAGGGUCUAUUCUUGACAUUUCUCUCGAUGACCAUGCGAACACCUUGACGUUUUUCCUAAGAAAGUCAAUGAGUUGCACUCGCUUCUCUUAGAGAAGUGUCACCUCAUUCUUGACGACUCGAUCAGGAUAGCCCUUGUCUAGAGGUUCCUCGAUCAGUGACUCUAUUAGCUCCGGAUGUAGGAGGGACUUUGCAAAAUCCUAGGGGUCCAACGGUAAACUCUUGGGUUGUACCCUUUUUGAUAGGGAGACUAUUGCUAUAUAGCACUAGCUAGACUCCUUCGAAUUACUCCUUAGCUCCCCAAUGUUAGUUUUUGUUACGAAUUUCAUUACCGUGUGAUAUGUAGACACCAUAACUCUUAGUUUUUUGAGUGUGGAUCGGUCUAUAAUUGCAUUGUACACUAAGGGGAUAUCAACCAUCAUGAAUUUGGUCAUCACCAUUUUAGAAUAGGGUUUAUCACUAAAUAUGAUGUGCAAGCUCAUGAUCCCAAGAGGGGAGAUGAAGUUGCUCGUGAAUCCCAUCAUCGAAGAAAUCAUAAGAAUAAGUUCAUUAGCUAAAAGCCUAAGUUUUUUAAAAGCAUCAAAGUAGAGAAUGUCAGCGGAUCCACCUAUGUGAUCAUUACCCUCUUAUGGAGACCACCAAGACAUCAUCAUAAUUUGGGUCAAAGUACUUCAUCUCUUCCUCUAAGAUUAUUUCUAACUUAUAUUCUAACCUCGGGCACUUCUCGACAGUGGCUUGGGCAUACGCUUUGUGACCCGAGGAGCUAUCUUCUACUGAAAUAGAUCUAUCAAUGAUAACAUCAAUUUGUCUCUUUAUUGGGCCCUAAGGUUGGGGCGAAGGUUCUCGAGAUCUCCGAACGAAUCUCUCAAGGUUCCCUUGACAAAAUGAGCUCCUCGAUUUGUUCAUUUGAAAUUAUAACAAUCUUCUAUGUCAUGACCAUAGUAAUAGUGGAAGCGGUAGUACUUGGAUAUGUCCCUCAUUUCCAACGAUGUCUUCAUUGGUUGAGAGUCCCUUAAAAAUCCUUUUUCCUUUAUCUAUAAGAAUAUCUUAAUUCUCAUCAUGUUAAGGGGUGUCAACUUAGACCUCGAGCAAGGUAGCUUAAGACGGUCUUAUUUUCUUCACCGAGUUAACCUCAAGGUUGGAGCUAAUGGUGGUCGCUCAUGCCACGGCCUCUUGCGCAUCUCCUCAUGCUUAAUUGAGACUAUCACCUCCGCAAUUAUAUAUUGGUUAGCCUUUUAAAGGACCUCGGGCGUGGUCAUCGAUGACUUCACUAAUGACUAGAAAGGCCAACAAGGCCUGAAUCAUGAGUGACGAAUGAACUUCUUACACGUCUCGGAUUUUGCUUGUGAAUCAAAUGACCAAAUUAGAGAGUGUCUCUUCCUCCCUUUGCUUAUAUUUGAGCAACAUUAUCACCGAGGCCCUCAGGCAUAUAUUUCCAAGGAAGUAGAGUUUGAACUCCUUUACGAGCUAAGUGAAUGAACUGACCAAGAGUGGCUUUAAGUAAGUGUACCACUCAUACACUAGGCCUCUCAAUAUUGUUGGCAGUGCGGAACACAUUAAUGCGUCCGAGAUGUUGUAGAGAGACAUUUGGGUCGAUCUUAUUUUCUUUAACGAGGUAACCUCGAGGUUGGAGCUCAUGGUGGUCACUCAUGCCAUGGUCUCUUGCACGUCUUUUCAUGCUUACUUGAGACCAUCACCUUUAUAAUUAUAUAUUAGUUGGCCCUCUAGAGGACCUCGGGCAUGGUCACCGAUGGCCUCUCCACUAAUAACUAAAAAAGUUGAGAGGUCCUAAGCCCCAUCAUGAAAGUUUGAAUCAUGAGUGACGAAUGAGUUUCUAACACACCUAGGAUUUCAUUAAUGAAUCGAGCGAUGAAGCUAGCGAGUGUCUCUUCCUCCCUUUGCUUGUGUUUGAGCAAUAUUGCUAUCGAGGGCCUCAGGCAUAUAUUCCCAAGGAAGUAGAGUUUGAACUCCUUUACAAGCUAAGUGAAGUAGCUAACUGAGAGUGGCUUCAAGUAAGUGUACCACUCCUGUGCUAAGCCUCUCAGCAUUGUUGGGAAUGUGUAGCACAUUAGAGCGUCUAAGGUGUCAUAGAGAGACAUUUAGGUCGAUCUUAUUUUCUUCACUAAGGUGACAUCGAGGUUGGAACUAAUUGUGGUCGCUUAUGCCAUGACAUCUUACCCAUAUCUUCACACUUAAGACCAUCACCUCUGUAGCUAUGUAUUGAUUUGCCCUCUAGAGGACCUCGGGCAUGGUCAUUGGUGACCACUCCACUAAUGACUAGAAAAAGGUAAGAGAGCCUGAGCCCCAUCAUGAAGGCUUGAAUCAUGAGUGACGAAUGAGUUUUUUGCAUGCCUUGGAUUUCGUUAGUAAAUCGAGUGACAAAGUUGGAGAGUGUCUCUUCCUCCCUUUGCCUUGUUUGAGCAAUAUUACCGCCGAGAGCCUCACGCAUAUAUUCCCGAGAAAAUAGAGUUUGAACUCCUUUGCAAGUUGAGCGAAGGAGUCGAUCGAGAGUGGCUUCAAGUGAGUGUACCACUCCCAUGCUAGGCCUCUCAGUGUUGUUGGGAAUGUGCAGCAUAUUAGAGUAUUUGAGUCAGUCUUAUUUUCUUCACUCAGGUGACCUCGAGGUUGGAGCUAAUGGUGGUCGCUUAUGCCACAACAUCUUAAGUAUCUCCUCAUACUUACUUGAGGCCUUUGUGACUAUAUAUUAGUUAGCUCUUUAGAAGACUGUAGGCAUGGUCACCGGUGGCCUCUCCACUAAUGACAUAAAAAAUGCGAGGGGGUUUGAGCCUCAUCAUGGAUGUUUGAAUCAUGAGUGACGAAUGAGUUUCUUGUAUGCCUCGGAUUUCGCUAGUGAAUCUCGUGAUGAAGUGGGAGAGUAUCUCUUCCUCCCUUUGCAUGUGUCUAAGUAAUAUUGUCGUUGAGGGCCUCGGGCAUAUAUUCAUGAGGAAGAAGAGUUUGAACUCCUUUGUGAGUUAAGUGAAUGAGCUAACCGAGAGCAGCUUCAAGCUAGUAUACCACUCCAGCACUAGGCCUCUCAACAUUGUUGGGAAUGCAUAGCAUAUCAAAGUAUUCGAGGUGUCAUAGAGAAACAUAUGGGCGUAAAAGACAGUAGUGUGUUCAACUGGGUAAGUAUUAUCAUCAAAAGCUUACAGCGAUAGAUGGUGGAAGUUGGUUGAGAUUGGUUCCUCUUGGAUGUUCUGGGUGAAUAGGGACCAACUCGAGAUAGGAUCAACCAUAUUAUCUCCCUUGGACUACUGAAACUCCUACCACAACUCGUUUAAGUGCUGGUCCAUUUGUUGCUAUUGGAUCCUCAGAGAGUCAUCCAUUGAAUCCACUCACUGGAUCGUAGAUUCAGGCAGAGCAUAGUAGUGGUGUGGCGGUGUACUGAACCCCACAGUCGGAGAGUUGGGCACUUCUUCAAUUGGCAGUUCUAUGGACCUUAAGUAAUCUUGAGAUGCUGGCAUUACAUUGAUGGGGGGAUCUCGAUGGGUGCCAAUGCUCAGGGUGGUUGAGGUGUCGACCAUGGCUAAGAUGAUGACACCAUUUGUUGGGCUAAUCAAGGCAGGAGUGAAGCGAUGGCUUGCAUCAUACCUAUGAGUGUCAGCACCUAAUGUGUGAGGUUCAGAAACACCUCAGUAGGAAUGAGCAAGUGACUCAAAUUUAUUCUUGGGGGUAAGAGGCUUGGGUUAUUGAAUAGACACUAAUACCUCACAUGUGUCUGUGCGGAGUGGACGUAUCCACAUGUGGGAAGGAGGGUAGUUGUCUCCAUUGAGUAAAAGUAUUAUGGGUUAGAGGUAAUGCCUUCUUGCUGAAGCAUUCGUUGAGUGGAUUGACGAGUGGAUGUUCUUACUGCUAGUCAUAGGUGCCCAGCAAGCCAAUCACGUGAGUGAUGGCACGUGUGACUUGAUACAGAAUCUUUUUGCUUAUUAUAUUUUGGCGUAUAUCACUUUAUAACUAUUGCAUAUGUGCAUAUAUAUAUUGUGAUGUCCUUGGAUUUGUGCAAUGGGAAUCGGAUCGUGAUGAGAUCACGAUAAUGAGAUCGAUUCACCUUUAAACACAUAUCCUAAAUAAUCCCGGUCAUAGGUUUCUCGAGAGGGACAUCGUGAUAACCGGAUAGACUGGUGUGCUGUAUACCCGUCCAUAUGAUGGAUGCAGCUGGUCUCAUAGCUGCUCGUGUAGAGACACUAGGGAUACAGUACAGGUGCUCAUUGGNNNNNNNNNNNNNNNNNNNNGCUCAUUGGAGAAUGAGUUCACUGAUUGAUCCGCUUACGGAAUGCUGGAUGGUUGAUGAUGCCUUAUUGUCAGACAGCGAUUCCGUAGUCCUAGUGGUGUAUCUGGUCCUUAGACUUGAGACACCAAGGAUGUCCUGUAUGAGUGCUCCACUCUUUGAUACCAGACUUAUAGGUUUGGCUGUCCCAGAUCUAGUACAGCUGGUCAUUGGGAGUGGUAGUCGACCUUACGAGGGCUAUUGAGUGUCGAUAGAGGAUCAUCCACUCUCGGCGUCUUGAGAGGAAUAUCCCAUGUGUUCUUGCUCAGACAAAUCCCUAGCCAGGGUCAUUCGGGUUGAGAGAGAAAGAGUUCUCCAGGAGAAUCCGAUUAGAGCGAGACUCGAGUAGAAACCGUAUGGGUCUGACAGCACCAUGCUCAAUAUAUGGUCUCUGGGAUAUUAGAUGGAUGAGGGACUAUAGGUACACGGUAACUGAGGACAGACAGGUCCAAUGGAUUGGAUUCCCUUGUAUCGUCUGGGGACUACGGCGUAAUGGCCUAGUACGUCCGUAGUCGAUGAGUUGAGUGAAUUAUUACAGAGAUAAUAAUUCACUGAGUUAGAAGGAGUUCUGACAGGUAUGACUCACGGCCAGCUCAAUAUUGGGCCUAGAGGGUCACACACAUAUGGUAGGCAUUGCGAUGAGUAGAGGUUCGGAUAUGAGAUAUCCGACGGAGCCCUUGUCUUAUUGGAUGCAGAUCCAAUACCCACUAGGGGAGGACCCAUUAGGGUUUGACAGGGGACCUCUAUAAAUAGGAGAGAUUCAGAGCCUCAUAGGCUAGAGCCUUUGCUUGCCUUUCCUAUUCUCCUCUUCCUCUCCACCUCAGAUCAGGCCUGGAGUUUUGAGGAGCGUCGUCGCAACCCUGCUGUGUGGAUCACCACUAGAGAGGAAGACGCUUGACCUCCUUUACCCUCUCCUAAGGAUCUGCAAGGAAAUAGGGAUAUACAAUCUCCCUAGGUAACACAAUCUACUCUAUACGCAGUUUCAUGUUUCGCGGAUUUUUGCGCACCAAUCUUCGCACGACGACGAACAUCUUUUUGGGAAUCGGGGAUUUUGUUUUCUUGUUCUUCCGUUGCGCAUGUGAUGUCGCCCCCAUGAUUCCCAACACUUACGACAUCAGACCUUCAUUCUAGCGCUAGAAUAGUAGGAGAUUUCGUAGUUGACAUUCAAGUCAACCUGAAGUUGUCUAAACCCGAAGGCGCAAGAGUGUCCUAAGUGGCUCUGAUAUGGGGGUCAAGCUUUUGAAACGCCGCUUACACCAAGGGUGAUGUUGAGAGAAGUUCCUAACCCAGUUCCUUCAACAUUUAAGUUAGUCCGAGAUCUUUUGUGGGGUAUGAGUUUUUUUUUUUCGAAAAGAGUCCCUUGACACGACGUUGGGAGUUAACUUUUAUAUUUGUUCUUGGGGGGAUAGCUCGUAACAGUUCCAACGUCUCCUUUUGACGUUUUGUCUACAUGAGCGACAUGGGAGAGACAAACUCGAAUGACCUCCUUAGAUUAUAGUCGACAGACAAGUGGAGAGUGACUAGGAUCUUCUAUUUUCACGCCACCCUUCACGUGAUGACAAAUGUCAUAUGAUAAUUGACCACAAAUAUUUUUCAUAUCAAUUAUCAAUACAAAUAUAAAAUUUAAACUAUUAAUCUAAGAUAAAAAAAUUAAAAUAUUCAAUUAAUAGGCUAUAUUGUGUGAAUACAUAUAUUACAUGAGUAAAUUUGAAUUUUAGAUUAAACAUUUUGAUAUAAAUUAUUUGUAUGAGAGUUUUUAUACACAUGUAUAUUAGUUCUCUAGUAACUAUAUUGUUCUAGUUAAGUGUAAAAUAAAUAAGUAGCCUAAGAAUACCUAAAUUAUUUAUCGUAUGAUGUUUCAAAAUCUCAUAAUAUAAUUAUUUUCAUUAGUUUGCAUUUUGCAUUAGAUUAAUAAAAAAAAUACUGAUAGUAGGAUGGGAAUAGAUAUCUAAUUAACUUAUGAGUGGUACGCGGAUUCGACCGAUCUAUUUUCCAACCAACAUUGGCUGCAAUUCUACAUUAGGCGAAGCGAUCCGUCCGGGUUAGAAGUUCCGAGCAAAUUCGAAUGUGACUCGUUCAUCAGGACAAUUAUUCGGGUCACAAAAAAUAAUGAAGCUAACGAAGCUGUGAAACAUAUCCCAACAUGGCCAGCAAUACAGUGGCUGACUCGUUAUUUAUUACGAGACCGGCUCUGCAACUUUGACUCGUGGAUGAACUGACUGGACUCUGCGUACGUCAGCUGCCACCAAACAUCUCCACAUCGACAGUACGCGGUCAUCAUGCCACGUGACGUUCUCGUGUCCGUUCGAUGGCCCCUUUGUUCGACUCAUGGACGGCAGAUGAGCCGACCGCUUCGUAAGUAGUAGUAUGCGGGUUAUUAGCACGUAAAGUCGAAGCGUUCCGAGCACUCCCGGUGAGGUGACGCGAGUAACGGAUGCCAUGACUAACUCCCUCGGCAGUGCCUGGCGGAUUAAAAGUUCUGUGAAAAAUGGAUAAACAGAUGGGUUUUUCUUUUCUUUCUGUUUUCUUGGUUUGUUAGAGCGCGCUCGAGCAUUGUGUUUGUCUUAAAACCGAAGGCGAUCGAAGCAAGGAGUAUCGAUCGAGCCCUAGAUCUCAUCCUAUUCUUUCGUUGUCGUUCUCCUCCUCCUCCUCCCUCGUGAUGCGGCCUUCGGUCUAGGGUUUGAUGCCGCCCUCGCCUCGGGAGUGCUUUGGAUGGACGAACCCUCUCCUUUCUCCUCCUGCUCCCUGUUGAUCGCCGCCGGAGCCACCGCCCUGUGCUGCAUCUUCGCCCUCUGGGCCCUCCGAUCGAACGCCGAAGGGGUCUUCCGGAGGCCCAGGAGGAAGAAGCUCUGCGGCUGCUCUUGUUCCUGCGGGGUUGCCGGGAGUACUGGUGGUGGGGAUUGCGACGCCCGCGGCGGCGACGGGGAUAUGGCGGUGAGGGAUAACAAGGUCGGCACGGCGGAGCGGCAGGCCGGCGGGUCGAUGAUGGAGCAGCUGGUGCCGGAGAUCACCACACACGCGCUCAGUUACCUCGACUAUACCAGCCUUUGCCGCCUCUCGAUGACUAACUCUGCGAUGAGGAGGGCUGCAAAUGACGAUGGCGCGUGGAAAGCACUCUACCACAAGGUAUCCCCUCCCGCCGCCUCUUUCUUGAUAUGGACAGUUGCUCCGAUUGACGCUGUUUCCUACAUGCGAGGGUUACUGCAAGUGUCAGGAGUUGUUUGAUAUUGUUGUAGUCGUGCAAUCUCAGUCACCUGAUGUUAAUUUCUGGUAGCAUUGCUCCUCUACGAUUGUCCCUUUCCCAGGAGAUUCUAAAUUUAUAGAAACCUCUAUUUGUGAAAUCUGAACACGACUUUACACGUCAAAUCGAAGCACAGAUGUGGUUUCAUGAAAAUACAUGUACAAUGAUGAUCAGUCGAAUUGUCAUUUCUAUCGCUAGUGAGGCACCAACUCAGGGAAAAUUCUUGAUUCUUGAAUAAGUUUGAUUCAGAAGCGGGAGAUUAAUGAUCAGUUGAGAAUUUAGGGGAACCAUUUUUGGUUCUUUCUUAAUAAGUUGAAACAAAAAAAUAAGAUAUAUCUUUUUCUGUGGCAUGACAAACUUUAGUUGAUCAAGGAUUGCUCUAUGACAAUUAUCGUGGAGACAGAUAUACCUGCAUCACAUCCAUGAUGACCCUAGUUUUGUAUAGAAUCUAAUUAGUGCAACAAUGGCGAUAGUAAGCAGAGCAAUGUUUAUAUUUCUUCACCAUGAAUUAUAUGUGAUAGACUUAAAACUAGUUCACAGGAGAUGAUCUCUUCGUUGUUACUGACCAACUUUUCAAGUGCUAAUGAUAUAGAUUUGUUAGUAGUAUUGCUUUUGUUCUUUUAGCAUGUUCAGAUGCCGGAAUGCCUAUUUGAUUAAUGUUAUUCUCUUGAAUACUUCUCAAUUAAAUUCAGGUGCUAGACUUUUUUUAGGACACAAAUUUGAUGUGAAAAGUUGAGGAUUAAGGAGAAGGGGAGAAAGUGAUUCUGUAAAAGAGGAGCAUAGGUGCUUGCUGCAAAAAUAAUAUGCUCUUCUCCGAAGAAAACAGACCAUCCAGCCUGACUGAAUUGCAUUCAACUAAAAAGGGUGUGAACCUGGCGCACAAGGUUCCUAUCAAUGUGGGAUUUGGGGGUGAUCAACGUGUGUGGUCUUCCCUCUAUAAACGAAGAGAUUAUUUCUGAUUCGGACCCUAGUUAUCUAGGUUGUAAAAUAUCAAUUACCAUUGUACUAAGGUCCACCCUCAAAAGGGAAACAAUAAUGUAUAGAAAUUUAUGUUAUGUCAUUGUUUUAAAUUGGAAUAACUAAAUUCAUGAACCCUGACACAUCUCUAUAAAUGAAGAGUUUAUUUUUGAUUCGGACCCUAGUUAUAUAGGUUGUAAAAUAUCAAUUACCAUUGUACUAAGGUCCGCCCUCAAAAGGGAAACAAUAAUGUAUAGAAAUUUAUGGUAUGUCAUUGUUUUAAAUUUGAAUAACUAAAUUCAUGAACCCUGACACAUAAUUCCAUCUGCUAGGCACAUUCAUAGUGAGCCAUGCUGUUAUUGUGUUAAGAUAUAUUUCAUUAAAUCAUUGACUAAUCAUAAAGGAAUUCUCAAAAAACAAAUGUCAUUAAUAAUUUAUUCAGUUUUAAUGGUCCAAAAUCAUAGAAGGAAUAGAUCUUAUGAACACAAUUAAACUUUAUGUUUUUAUUAUGAAGAACAACUUCAACUUCUAUAGAUUUGUAGUUCCCUUCUAAACCAUGGAUAAUUUUUUUUUAACUGAUUUAAUCUUUAAAAUUAACCUAAAAAUUCCAUUCAUCAAGGUAUCUGUCAGCAAAUGUGUUCAAAGAACUUUUUCCAUGCAGCAAGUCCAAGAACGACCAAACUUCUAAGUUAGAGUUCAAACCAGUUGAACCAGCAACAACAAAAUUUUCAAGAAUCCAACUAUAUGGUUGACAAAUUGAAAUUAUCCUAUAUGGGCAACAGUACUUGACUCACAUUGCUACGAGGGUUCUAGGGAUGAGAAGGAGCUCGAGAAUUUACCUAUUCGACAUGUAACAAUACUUUGAAGAUUUGAGGCUUGAUUAUAAAGAAACCAAAGUUUCAAUAGUAAUCGUGUAUCUGAAUGGGGGUACAAAAUUUUAGUGGCGAACACGUUGGGAAGAGAUCCAACAAGCUCUGUGUUGAGUGGACACAUAGGAGGACUUGAAGUGAGAGUUUAAAACCCAAUUCUUACCCGAGAACAUUGAGUUUGUCGCAAGAAUGAUGCUAAGACUACUUCGCCAAAGCACUUCCAUUUGGGACUACGUAAAGUAGUUAUCAGCACUGAUGCUAGACAUACAAGACAUGUUUGAGAAGGACAAUUUAGUUAGCCUCCUCAAUGGCUUGAACUCAUGGGCACAAUAGGAAUUGCAUUGAAGGAUUGCUAACGAUUUGGUCGGGGCAAUUGCAGUUGUAGAAAGGCUCAUCGACUUUGUUUCUUCGAAUGACUCGGGGAAGAAGAAACGAUUUUUGGGAAAUCGCUCGUCUAAGUAUCCCCGAGGGAAGGAGUCUGCAAUCGAGCAAAAGAAAAAAGAGUUCCUACAAAGGAUCGAGUUCAAAAUGUAAGGUCCCAAAAGCUGGCGGAUGUCUUUUGUGCAGAGGAUCGCACAUAGUGAGGAAGUGCCCACAAAAGCAAGCACUCAAUGCGUUGACAAUAUCAAUUCAUCCCCCCAGAUUGGAUAAGAGCAAGGUCGUCGUCGUCCUUAGUUCGAGUUGUUCGGGAUUCAACAGCAACGAUGAGGAGUUGUAAGGACCUUGGAUGAGAGCAAUAUGUUUGUUGAACGCGUUGCAGGGUCAAGUGGGGGGGGGGGGUGAACAUGAAGAUGAAGCAAUAAAAAGCACGGAGCCGAUGUACGUGGAUAUCAAGCUAAAUAACCAAACAACUCGUAUGAUAGUGGACACGAGUGCUAUCCACAAUUUCAUUACCAACCGAGAAGCAAGGCGACUCGGGUUGAACCUAGAGAAGAUCCAAGUCGGAUGAUGUAUGUGAACUCAGAGGCUAAGCAAAUCUCUGGGUUGGCAAAGGGGGGUCUCUAUCAAAAUCGACACGUGGAGCAGAAGCACAAACAUGAUGGCGGUGCCUCGGAUUAGGCGUCGACUAUCGUGCCCUAAACAAGGUGACAGUGAAGAACAAGUAUCCCAUUCUGCUUAUAAUAGACUUGUUCGACCUAUUGGGUAAGGCAAAGUAUUUCUCCAAACUUGACCUUUGGUUAGGGUACUGGCAGGCGCGCAUAGCUGAAGGAAACAAAGUAUUUCUCCUCUCUCUUUUCUCUCUUGCAUGCCAAGUGUUUGUUGAAUUGCUUAUAAAACUGUCAUCUUUGCAAAAUGUCGGGACUUAUCCGUCGCUCGUUUUCAGAACUAAUCAAUUUGCUCUUUUAUAGGUCAUUGGGGAUCUAAACAAUGUUGCAAUUAGGUUGAUCCUUUGCGGACGGAUAACACAAGAGUGCCUCACGACUUAGGCAAUUCUAGCCAAGUCUAUGCAAGUUUGUCGGUAACGAUCAAAAUUUGAUCGUUAUCUAUUGGUACAGGUCGGUAACGGUUGGAUUUUGAUUGUUUUGACUGGCACAAACCUUGUACCGGGCGACACGGGGGCAUUUAGCAUAUACCACCCGGUACAGGGUGGUCCGCAUACUAGUCCCUUAUCGGAUCGGUGUGCAUCGCCCGUACUGGGCGGUAUACCACAGCAUGACAAACCUCCUAUUGGUGAUAUAUUACAAGAAAGAAAAAUAGAGAAGAAUAAUGAAUAUUUUUUCACUAUAGUACAAAUUCAAAAGCAAACCCAUUAAGGAGACUGUGUUGUUGGCCUAAGGACAUAUGUAGUAAAAGAGAACCUGUAAGAACUGCUUUGUUUUUUUCCCAUUGGUGGUAACUAUUUUGGGGAGUGGUUAAUCUGCACAGACAGGUGAAAUCAAUCUGAUACACAGACAAUUCUGAUUUUUGUAAAUGAUUGUAUCAGUGGUUGGGAGACAGCAAGUUGGUCUUUAAAAUCCCAUUAUGGCUACAUUUAGAAGUGUUUAAAAAUAUGGGUUGUUGUUUUUAAACAUAGCUUAUGAGGAUUAUUUUCAAGGUGGUUUCAUGAGAUGAGAAGUUGUACUUGGGCCAUUGGAACCUAUUUGCUUGAUGUUGGAUGUCACAUGUUAUCUUGAUGCUGACGCUUGGAGCAAUGCUGAUUACACAAAAUCACUUUUAAUGAUCAUGCAUUUUUACUUGUGAUUAGGUUGAAAUGGAUAUUUUCUAAUCUGUUUCCAUUAUCUAACUGGAGCAUGAUAUGGUAUAUAUCUCACAUGUGUAUACCAUGUUCUGGGUUUUGCUAUUCUAAACUCCCAAAGGAUUAUGGACAUGGAUUGACUUGUGUCAUUUUCUGGAUGUCAAAAUAUCCAGAUUUUCAAAUAACAGGAAAUUAUUGAAAGUACUAAUACAGUGAGGCAAUUGACAAAUUCUUUUAGGCACAUACCUUGAUUUCUCCUAGGUCUGCUGUUUUCUUUGACCUUCAUUGAGGAGCCCUCCUCUCCAAGAAAUGUUAUUGUUAAUACUAAGUUAGUUCCUAAAAUUUAAGCUUGCAUGCUUUUCAUCAUAGUGUGUCUGUAAGGUACAUCUUGUUAAAGCCUUUUUAACAUAUGUAUUAGUUGCUUGCAUCUGAACAUAACUGUUCAUCUUAUAUUUUCUUUCUUUUUUCUGUAUGUUAUCCUAUUCAUAUCUGUAUUAUGUACAUCAAAUAUGGUUAUAUAUUGUUUCGGUUCCUUUUCUGGAUCUCAACAAUUUCAUGCCAAUAAUUUCUUCCAUAAAUGUUCCUUCGCCAUACUCGUUGCACCUAGAUUCACGUUUGGAUGGAAUUUCUAGGAGUAGUCAAUUGUGUCGGUUUAAAUUGGUUGGACUGUAUAAACUAUGGUGGCCUAUGCUUUGUUUAGCAUUUGGAUGCUGUUAGUGUCUACAAUUUGCUCUCUAUACUAAUAAUGUUUUUUCUUGCGUAGGACUUCACAGUGGAACAGGACACUGUUAACCCAAGCAACGGAUGGAAAGCUUACUAUGCUGCCACCAAAGCCAUUGUCAAUGUCAAUGCAGAAUUCUAUAAUAUAAUCAGAGAAAGGUCACUUCCAGCAAUGAGUAGAUUUUGGCUUAAUGCUGACUAUGUAAAAUGUAUACAUGCAUCUGGGGAGUUAUUCACAGGGUAUGCCAUUAACCUUAAUUUUGUUAAAUUUGUUAUUCUGGAAAAACUCAUGGCUAAAUCAGAAUAUGACACACUUGUCACUUUCUUGAAUAUUUUUACCUCUGGCAACUUUGAUUAUGUUUUCUUCUUUUCUGUUGAAGAUGCUAUAGUGAUCUUUUAUAUGUAACUGAAUUUUCCUUCUUUUUGUUCCAAAAUAAUAGCCACAUUGCUGCUUAGCCUGCUUUGCAACCUUUGUUACCAAGGUUUAGGUCAGAGAGCAGCCUUUCUGUUUACAUGGGUAAAGCGGCAUACAUUAAUUCUCCCCAAAUCUUGUAUUGAUGGGAGCCUCGUGCAUUUAUGCUUGUUUCAAGUUAAACUUAAUACUCAGCUUGAUCGCAGUAUGCUUGAACCUUGUAUCUUUAAUUCUGCUUACUUGGGGCUUUUGUGAUCUGACCACAGUAGCAGUUGUGCUGAGUAUUCCUAAGAUUUGCUACAGAUAAUGCACAACCAUGUUUAACAUCAUCUAGACUCUUACAUAUAGGUGAUUUAUAUGGCCUUUGUUUCCUAAUGAUUCAUAAGUGAAGAUAUUAUUUUGCAUUUUUUUGAAAUUUAGCAUCCACAUAUAUAAUUUAAAGCUAAGUGAUGCUGCCUUUUCAUGCAUCUGGUCCUUCUUAGGAUAUCUCGGUUAUAGAUUCUUGUGGUGGGAAUGUCUAGGACAAAUAUCUGUUAAAAAGUUAUUGUUUCCUAAUUUUAGGUGACAUUCAUUCCUUUCGUGGUAGAAGAAAUAUUCUUGAUGACAUUGAAUGAUGGCCCUGCCCAACAUCUGAGACUGAGUUUUAGACAUAUAGUGGACUAUAAUUGAAAGUUUGGAGUGCCAUCACAUUGUACCACUUUUGCUUAAACCCCCUUGUACCCACUCUGACAUGCAAUGUACUAUCGGCCUGCAUCUUUCAAAAAAUGGAUAAAUUUUUUCAUGCAUAACUACCUUGAUAUUUGUGAUGGUUCUAAUGUUUUACUCACUUAAUGAUGGCUUUUUGUCUUUUUUGUUCUAAUCAAAAUUUUGCAGUGUUAAAGAAUGUUGUUAAUUGCAUACCUUAAUGUGGCCAUUAGUAUAUUGGUAAAGGUUGUGGAACUUGUCUAUUUUUUGGAUUUUCCAUUAAUGGUGAUACACUGAGAUUUUGAUGAAUUUAGUUGUGAAUACCAGCAUGACAGAGAUCUUGCUUAUAAGAUUGUGGCAACUAAAGAUACUUGGUUGAAGGGCGGAGGCCCUUGUAGGACUGACAUUACUAAUGUUGUGCAUCUUUACUUUUUAAUUUGUGGUUCUCAGUAGUUCUGAUUGUUGGUUGUACUCUUUCUACUUCAAAUUAUACCUGAAUAUUCAUACUUUGUUGCUAAUUCAAAAUAGUGAAAAAUUUUAGUUCAUGUUAUCUUUCUUGUAAAAUCUUAGGUAGGAUCUCUUCUGUAUGUUUUUAUUUUCACAUUAACUAGCACUUAUCAUCUUAUUUAUUAUAAAGUACCAUUCAAUUCCUUGUUUAUUUUAGCAUUUAAUUUUUAAGGAUAUUUUUGUUAGUGUUGUCUAAAUCUGUUCAGGCUAUGUGCCUUUGAAGGGUUCUAUAAUUUUGUUUAAACACCAUCAAUUUUUUUAUAUUCUAGCAAUAAGUUGAUGAGGUCCCCUAAAAUAACUUUGAGCACUUCUGUUUUGUUGGGUCUUUAAUUAUAUGUAAUUUGGUUGUUCUAUAAAGGAAAAAAAACAA
rnacentral:lncRNA from 1 species